rnacentral:lncRNA from 1 species
UGCCGUCCUGAUAUGUGCUGAGUGCUAACAUUGGAUUGAUAACAUGUAGAGAUGAACUGCUAUUCCAUUGGUAAAUUGUCCCACUUGCUUGGGGACCUCGAAUUCUACUGCCUGUACAUACUUUCUUGUAGUGUAUAUAGUCGGCGUAGAGCUGCGGUUGUGUGAUUCUUCGUUUGUGGUGCGUGUGCGUGUUAUUUCUUGUACAUUGGAACUGAAUCCCUUAUGAAUCAAUCAGUCUGCUGUAUAUAAAUCCUGUGAAAAUGUGAAUUUUGAUCUCUGCUGAGUGUAUAUUGGCCUGUCCUGUGAGAUGUCAAUGUGUCAUCGAAUCAUUUUUUGUUUAUCAGUGAAGCAUGCGCAUGCGUGACUGGAAUUUGAAAAGGAUAGGCUGUUAUGGCUAGCUAUCUCUGGAAUGAAUGGACAUCAGAAACAAGUAAGGCAUGGAAGUUUCAAAUUUCACCCAUUCCAUGGGUUGAUCCAAAAUCCAAGAUGGCUUAUGAUCAAGCCAGCAUCUCUAAAUCACCUUUUUCCUAGAAAACAGAAAUUAUAAGUAGUUCGACAAGAAGUGUAGACCGAAUUAAAAUAAGACAUUAUCAGAACACUGCUUAAUGGGCCUCAUAUUAUUCUGGGGGGCUCUAUGACGGGAAGGCCCGAGCCCAUCAUUUGUUUUCUCUCUUUGAGUGGCCCGGUCACAAACGCACGCACAUAGUCCGAGCUCUAAACAUGGGCCAAGUUUGGGGUGUAUCGUCCGACAUGAGGGGGGUUCUCUGUCAUAUCACACUCCUCUCCCUUUGAGCUCAUCAAACAAGUUAUGUUUUUGCUGUCUUUCUAUGCCUCUAGGGACACCCAUGUUAAGUUAGUGUUCUAAUGUAGUAUGGUAAAGAACCAGAAUGCUACUUUUUUCUGGGUGUUACAAAUGGGACACCGAACGAUAAUCUACAUACUCGUUAUGUAUUGAUCAUCCAUUAGCUAGUAAUAUAACUUGCCUUUAUAUAGGCGACGGGCUACUAUGAUACUUGUGGUGUGGAUGCACGCUAGUGGAUGCUUUAUGUGGCUAGGGGAUGCACGCCAUCCUUGUGGUGUUCCCUACCAAAGCACCAUGCAAGUUUAAUGUAACACCUCACCUGAGUAAUCACCUUCCGAGGGACGGGCCUAUAUAAACAUAGCAUCUCACUCACACUUUUGUCCUAACUUUAUAUAAAAAGGUUAAUCUAGAGGUGCUAUGUUUGGAGAACAAAAGGCUAUAAGUUUGCUCCACCCACGACAUGGUACUAAAAAUGUACACACAACACUCAUGGAUCACUUAUGAGCUGUAUUUAAGUUGGGCUACAUGUCACACUUGCACUGCAAUGCUGCAUGAAGCUAUGCAUAUGCAUGCAUGCUUAAACCAUGUGAUGCUAGUGCACUACCACAUUUGACUGCGAACAACUUCCUAGAUUUUGUAGUCAGUUCUUGUUUGUAGUGAUUAAUUAGAUUUUCACAUAGAGAAAAAAAGGCAAGUUAUUGUUCCCAUACAAGACAAAACUUAAAGGCAUGCACCAUAAAUGUACCAACUAAAUUGUCUGACUGUUUUCUCAUCGAUCUAUCAUGCUUUUCAUCCUUCAAACCUGCUCUUCCUCCUCCUAACCUAUCUUCCUCCUUUCUGUUUCCCUUCCCUGGCAUCAAAUGCUUAAACAACAGAUCUGCAAGAAGCAAUGGCAGAUGUCUAGGAGGUCUUGGUUAAGGUAACCCCUUCAUCCACCAUAAUCUAAGUAUGUGAUGAGUUUAAGAUUUUCUCAUGGCUCAGGCACUCUCACCUCCCACGCGCUGGAUGUGCCAAUCCAACAAAUCAACCAUCUGUAGCUAUAUAAUUUCCAUCCCUAUCCCUAUCACUGACCUUUCCAGUGAUGAUGAGGCUACCACACAUAUGUCCUGUUUGAGAAACAAUAGGAGCAUGAUGGAUAAGAAGAAGAUAACUCUUUUAUUGAUGUAGACGGUUCCUCUUCUUGAAGGAUCAUGUGAUGCCUAGGGGGCACUACAAGAAAUCUUCCGACCAGUAACGAACCAAAAAGUGUCAUAAACGGGUUUUUUGCAUCAUAAACCGAGAUUUAUGAUGCGAGAGUGAUGAAAACCCUUCGUCAUUAGUCGAGCGUCAUAAAUCGUGACUAGUGACGUUCCUUAUUUUGGUGCGUCACUAAGAUAAUGACGAAUGAAAAUUUGUCCCACAUGUCGUCACAAAACUGUUUCGGAGGUUGCGCCACGUUGGACAAGAAUCCAACAUGGCUCCGAUGUGGUAGGGGUGUUAUGACGAUUUCGGUUCAUCACAAUUUGAAGCUCGUUUCAUGUAAGAGCCUUUAUGAGCCCAAUUUUGUUGGGCCAUUUUAGCCCAUUUUAGGUUUCUGUGUUAUAUAGUUCACCAGCAAUAAUAAUGCAACAUACAAUAAGUUAAGCAUCAACAAUGCAACAUACAACAAAAGUUCAUCAGCAACAAACAACAACUUCACCAGCAACACACUUCAGUUGAGGGGAGGAUUCAUUUAACUGGAGCUGAAGUUUAUCAAACUAGAAAUCAGAGAGUGCUACUAUUUUGUGGUGUUCUUAAAAGCUUGGAGCUUUUAUGUCUGAGACUUCAAUGUUGUUUCUUGUGUUUCAGACCUCAAUCUCAGUGCACCCAUCUCAGGCUCCUGUUCACCGAUCUUUUGCCGAAGUUGUGCCCCCCCCCCCUUGUUUCUCACUCAAGAUCAGCUUUGUAUUUCUUCUACCUGCAGUGUAGUACCAACCCUAGUCCUUUUCUUUGAGGGUGGGUGAAUGCCAGCAACCUCCCGAAAUGUCUUAGAUUGGACAACUUCAGCCACUGCUUUAGCAGCAGUCUUUGGUUGGUCGUUCCCAGGUUGGACGAUAAUUUGUUCCAUUCGAGCCUAAUAAAAGAAAGAAAAUGAAAGGUGUGGGGACCGCCCCUUGGAUGUUCACAAUUAAGCAAUACAGUGCCAUGCCCUGGAUUAGUAUCUGGCACCAACGUAUAUUGGAAUGAUUAUCAGAGUAAGAAGAAAAGAAAAUUGGAGGAAUUAUGUCGGUGUUAUAUUCACCUUUAGGGAAUAAUCAAGCAACAAUUAAUGCACAGCGAAAAGAUGAAAGCUGACUCCCUAGGCAACCUGGCAAAACAAACAAGAUUGAGUACUUUUGCUAGAAGUACUCAUCAAGCAUCUUAAUGUAGAAAAGUUAAUGACAUGUAAGGUAAAUCAAGGAAAACUAGGUUUAUAUGCAGAAAGUUGUUUGUAUGCAUAGUGUAACACCAUUUGGGAUUUAAUGGGGGGAGGGUAGUUGUUAUUAUUAUAAUAAUGUUGUUUUGGCCCUGGAGGGGGAAACAAGCCUCCCCUACCAGUUCCCAUAUUUUAAAGGCAACGAUCGUCAGGAUCUUGCUUAUCUCACAGCAUGGGCAUUUGCCCCUAAUUCUCUACUUUGUAUCAAAGAGGUGUGACUAAUCAAAGAGAGUUUUGACCAUGUGAGUUCAUGACCGAGAACCUCGACUAUUUGAAUAGAUUAAUUAACUCUACAGAGCCUAGACACUUUGCCCAUACGAUUGGGUAGCCCAUACCAAGGCGUUUGGCAGUACUACCCUAUGAGACCCAUACCCACCGGCAUCCAUCUCUGGACGACAUCCUCUAGCUCCAUCCAUGGAUAACACUAGGGCCUAAGCAGAGGCCAUUCCACAUCCACUCAGGGACACUAACCUAGGAAAAUAGAUGCAUCAUAACGUGGCAUGCAAUGCCAUCAGGCCCUACAGACCUCAACCGAUGACCCAUGCUAGCCGGACCUAGGACUCUGUGAAGGUCCUGCUCUAGUGCAUCCGUUGCCCACCGUGGCCCCUUGGGAUGGUUUACUAGAUUCUGUAGUGGGGUGUGAAUCAAGUCCUCACAUAAGUAGGCACUCCCGAAGGUUGUACCUUUUUGGCUCGUAUGGUUGCACAUAUACACUAGAAAGAUUUUUUCAAUGAGCCGAUCCUUAAAUGAUCGAGGCAACACUGGGUAGGGGCCCCUCACGAGGUUACCCAACUUACCUCACAUCCUCCUUAGUUGGUUUCUAGUCAAGUUUUAUAGUUCAUUUUCUUUGCCACAACUCACACCUAAAGAAUUAGAUUGGCAAAUAGAAAAUAUAUGAGAUCUAUCAGGCCUUAGGUACAACGGCAUUCCUAGAGUUUUAAGCAAGGAGGAAGAGUAAGGGCUUGCUUUUAGGAAUAUACUUAACCUUAUAUUUAGGGGUUUAUGAAGUAUGCAAUAUCACAUUAUAAUCUUGGUUAAUUUUAGUAUUGCAAAGCAUAGCAUGGACAAGGGGUUGGUGUUAAGACUUUCCUUGCUUGUCGAGCUGCGAAACUGAAUCCUUAUAUGGAUGACUAUCUUCGAGGUGAAACGUAAACUUCUCGGAUGUCGGUGUUUAGACCCGGCAACCUACCGAGGAGGUACACGAGGUAGUGUUUUAUGCGUGGGGCUCACCGAAGACCAGGAACUCCAAGGUGAACUCGAACACAUGAUUUAGAUAGGUUCGGGCAGCUUAUGUCGUGUAAUACCCUACGUCCUGUGUGUUGGUUGUGUUGUAUUGAUUGAUGUUGUUUGGACAGGGUCCCUGCCUCGCCUUAUAUUGCCGGGGGCGGGGUUACGGGUCGGUUGUUUACAAGAAUACUAGUCAGAUUCGACUAGAGUAUCCUACUCUAAUUGCUUAUGAGUAGUUUCCUAAUCCUCAACUAGUUCCUGUCCUCCACGUAGACCAUGCCGUCUUGCACCGUAGUCUUCAUGUCUGACACAUCUCAGUGUACAGCCCCGUAUCUAGGACUGUCCAAGCCUCUCGGUGGGCCCAUAGAUGUACGGCCAACAUUGGGGAGAGAUUAAGAUACUAAUGAACAUGCAAUCAAUCAUCAAUCAAAGUAAUCCAAAGCUUAUUGGAAAGAAUCUAAGAAGGUUGUGAAGGGGGUUGGGAUGGAUUUUCCUAAGUUUCUGGUGAUCUUCUAUAUUUCAUGUGAUUUUCUAGGUGUAGGUUUAUGGGUUAUUGAAUGGUUUGGUAAUAGACACUUGGUUAUGGGGCUUGGGUAUGUGCUAAGAAUUUCCCAAGUUCCUAGGAAGGGUUUGGAAGUUUGGCUUAGUUUCUAAUAUAAAGACAAUAGGAUUGCUAUAGAUUUAUUAAGUGUCCCCUUAGUUUUGGGGGUUUAAGAUGCGAGUUUGGGAAGGUGAACUCAUGAAUGUGCCUAAAAUAUAUCCCAGUAUUUUUAGAAAUUUAUUAGAUAUUUUUGGAGCUAAGAAUGGCAAAAGGAGAGAUUUUUGGUACACUAAUGGGGCUCUUUUGUUGGCUAAAAAUGGUUUUAUCUAGUUUUGGACCUUAAAGAUGUGUAAAAGGAGAUUGGGUGGUUCUAAUGUGUUUGGGAACCUUUCUAAUAUUUUUGGAAAUUUUGACGGAUUUUUUUGGAUAAGUGGAAGUGGGUGAAAUAACAUUUGGGGUACUCUCAGCAGUGUGUACCUAGAGUUUUCGUAUAGUUUGUGAGACCGAUAGGUGGGGCCGAGUCAGCAGGUCAGCGAGGCUAUGACGGAGGUGGCUGUGCUGUGGACCUAGUUCGUGGUCUUGUGGACCGGGGUGAACGGAUGAGAGUGGUCCACUGGACCGGGUGUACGGAAGGGUAGGGGGUGGCGUGGUGCUGAUGGGGCAGUGUGCAUGGCGUUUGUGUGACGCUAGCGCGUGGGGCUGGGGCUGACAUGGACGCCACCCAGGCACCACGUGGGAGCGCCACCCAACAUGGGCACCGGAGUGCGGCGGUGUGAGCAGAGGGGCUCGCCGGAGCUUCUGCCACCGGCCGCUACGAGGUGGGGCUUGGGACAAGGAGUGGCUCUAUGACCUCAGGGUGUCAUGGCGGUGAGGAUAGGCUAGGUCCUGAUGUGGAUUAGAGGUUGGGGUGGCUGUUUCGGCUCACCGGAGUGGCGACGACGGUGCGGCCAAGAAGGGAAAUUGGCCUGGGAGAGGGUUGGGGGCUAUGGCGAGUAUACGGGUGUGGUUGGGAGUGCAAGGCGCAUGCGUCUGGGUGGUUAGGCUGGCUGGGAGGUGGCUGGUGCGGCGCCGACGGCUUGCUGGAAUCGGGCGGUGCUACGAUCUAGCGAGGAGGGGCGACCGGAGGGGGGUGCAGAGCUCGAGUGGCAAUUUUGGCAGCAUAACAGGGCUACCUGUGGUGCUACUGUGGGCGGUGCGACGGUCGGAGCAAGGCGACGGCGUGCAGUGGUUGCGGGGUUGAGCGGCGGUGGUAGGUCAGCGUGGAGCGGCCAGCAAAGCGGCGCCGUGGCAUGGGAAAUGAGGCUAAGGGCUUCGCGACAACCUUGACUUCAACCCAUCCUAGCUUUAGGAGACAGAGCAUAGCGGUGGUUGGAGGCUGCGAGCCUGGGUUCCUACUCCAGCAAGGGAAAGGAGGUGAGAUGGUGGUGUGAGGUGGGAAGGCGCCGGGAGGGGGCUAUUUGUAGCCCCGGGAGGAGCUCGAGGUGCGUCUCGAGCCAACGGAUAAGGCCAGAGGUGAGCGGAUAAGCUCACUGGCCGUUAAUGGUAGGCGAUGAGCAGUACGUUGGCAGGGCUCUGGCAUGGGUGUGCAGGAGGGCAAGGGACGCGUCACGGGCGUGGUUGAGGAGCCGGAUCGAUGUGGCGUGACGGGGUCGCUCCAAGGUGCUGCUCGGAGUAGUGAAUAGUGGAUGGGGUGAGGAGAUCAGGGCGACGGCCGUUGUAGCCACGCCGUGGCAUCGCGUGUGCAGGUGCGAGUGGCCAAGGUUGUGAGGAAAGGGAGGGGGAUUCUGACAGAGGGAGUAGGCGAGGUCUGGUCGUGGCAGUACGGUGCACUUGUCAUGGAACAGGGAGAUAGCUGGGGAAGGCGGAUCGGGCGGCGUCGUGUACGCCAAUGAGGGAGGAUGUACAGGCAAGUGUGAGAGGGAAGAGAGGGGGAGGAUGACAACGACGCUGGCAUUGCAGGCUGGGCGAACUGGGCCAAACAGCUCACUAGGCCUUGCGGGAAGGUGGAGGGAGGAGGAAGAUGGAUUGGGCUAGAAGGUUGUUUGGGUUGAAAGUGAAGCUAUCAGCCUGCUUAGUAAUAGGGGAGCUUAGCAUUUAUUUGGAGGGGUUCUUGGUAUAGUUUGAAUUCAAAUUUAGUUCAAAUUUGAGAAUUGCCUAUAAAAUUUGGAUCUUUUCCUAAACUCUCUAGCACACAAAUGCACAACCACGUGAUGUUUAUGCUUAAUAUGAACAUUUGUUGAAAUAAUUUUAAUUAUUGGGGAGAAAAGAAGAAAAUUUAACAAGUCCUCAUUUUUUAAUGUUUUAAAUUUUUGGGAUGUUAUAGAUCUACCCCAUUUAAGGGAAUCUCAUCCUCGAGAUUCAGAGGGUUAGAUAAGAAAGAUAGGGGUACGAUUUAUUUCUUUUCAUUUUUAUGGUUCAUUUCCUAAUUCUUGGGUUUUCCUUAUGCAUCUUUGGUUUUGAUUUACCCAUGAUUUUAAGGGGUUAUAGAUUUUUUAAUGUUAUUUCUUCCUUAGUUCUUUUAUGAUUAUUUUUAUCCUUAAGUUCCUCAAAUUUCCUUUACUAUCUUCUUGUCUUUGGAUGGGUUAUUUGUUGGUUGUUUUUAUUAAGGGAUCAUUUCCUUUUUUUUAUAGAUUCCUCUUCUUAUUAUGUAUUUAUAGUUUUAUUGGGUUUUCUGGAUAUUUACUCCCGUACUUAUUAUGUGGGGUUACAUAUUUUAUUUCGUCUUUAUAUGGGGUGCUACCCCACUUAAGGUGUUUUAGGGUUCUUUUCUUUUCUUUGUCUUAUCUUUUGAUCCUUCCUUAUGCUUAUGGGUAGAGUUUUAUUCAUGAUCUUCUGGGAGUCUAACUUUGUUCUUAGUGAAAAAUAUAUUUAUUUUCUGCUUUUUAGAGUUAAUAUACAUUUUGAUGAUCCCGGGUGUUUAGUGGGUGAAGAUUUAUUUCCUUUUUAUUUUAAUCCUUAAGUUCUUGGGAUUUAGUGUUUCUAUUAGGUUACUACGCCACUUAAGGAUUUCUAACUUUAUGUUUAACUGGGGUAGGAGGGUAAGGUUAUCAGGUUUCCUUGAAGAGUUGGGCUUAUUUAUGGUUGUGAACUUGGGUGACUACUUCCUGUUGAAAAUUUCGUAUGAUGAUUCUUUUGGAUAUCUAGGGGCGGGAUAUUCCUCCUAAGGAGUAGUGGUAGUUAUGUUUUCCUUGUUUGGGGAUCCUUUUAAUGGUUAAGGUGGUCCUUUACAUUUCUAUCGAGAAACUUGCAUGUCUUCUACCUUUUACUUCCAGUACUUAGUUUUCGGAGUUUUCUUAUAGUUAGAUUUAUAGUUCUGGGUCUAUUGUUGGUUUACCUUGGGGUUUUCCAGCUAUAUUUAUCUUGGGUAUGUUUGGUGUAGAUAAAUGUUUCUUGCUUGUGCCUUAUUUCUUGGUUUCCUAGUAUCCUUAUUUUGAGUAGUAUCUUUGUAAUGUUUCUUUUUAGGGGGAGCGCCAUCUUAAAGUGUUUCUUUAUUUGAAGGGCUUGGUAUGAUGAUUUUUCUUGAUAAUUUUUUGUCAUUUCACCUUUUAACUAGGCUCCUUACUAUUUUCAUCAUAUGGAAUUGGAAUUGUAACUUUGUUCACUAAAGUGGAUUUUUAACCUUAUUAUUUUGUUCAUAAUAUUAUAGCUAUUAGGGUUAUAUAAUUUCAAGAGUGGAUAGCAUAGAAAGAAGAAGCUCGUGGAGAUUUAUUCCUUAUAAGAGCAUUACAUCAAGCACCUUACAUAUUGGAAGUAUACUACACUUUAGACAACUUCCAAUUUUCUAAUUUACAAGCAAACUACCAUACAAUCUAUAAUACAAGAGAAAGAGAAAAUCUUAUCCUAUACAAUAAUUCUAGUUUUGUCGUACACUAUUUAUACUUGUGUACAUAUGUGUCUAGUAUGGGGGAAGAAUUUCUGUUUCCACUAUUGUCUGCACUUCCUCCAUCUCGGCCAAGUUUUCAUCUUCCUAGGGAUUCCUGUAUAUGGUGUGCACAAUGUGGUCCUUUUCAGCAGGGGUUUUACGGUCGGGAUAUAAACAGAUGGCUAUAUGUGCUGCAAUUUUUGCUUCAUGGGUAAGGGUCGGGGUUGGGUGUGUGUCCUCAUCGCAGGCCCCUAAGUUUAAGGUCAAUUUAGGGAUUUCAAAGGUUUGUAAUCUAGUUUCCUUUCUAAGUUUUGGGGGAAGCCUGCUAUUGAGUUGUUCUAUUUCCUACCUUCUUUUAUCAUCAGACCCUUGCCAACCCUUAUUUAUUCAUUCUAUUUUAUCAUAAAGGUAUAUUACUUUCUUCGUAAGGGUGACAAGGUGGACAAGAGUAAAGGAGUGUUUGCCAUAUGGCCUCGUUGUCGUGUUAACUUAUGUCUUAAGGCUCGAUUUUUCUGAUAUUGGGUCCUAUUGCUGCUUCUUGCUAUUUGGGCUUCUAACUACUCCUGGAGCCCUUCUAUUUGCUCAUAGAAUAUGGUUUGCUGGUUUGUACAUUCUUUUUGAGCUUCCUUGAGUUUCCCUAUGAGGGUAUUUCUCUCGUAUUGGUAUCUCCGUGUUCUCUUACUUUGUUGCUCUAACAUCUUUUCGUAGGUGUCAAAUUGUCCUCUUGAUAUGGUCUGUUUAAAUUCUAAUUUUCUUAGUAUAGUUGAAUAGAAUGAUGGCUACCCCUCCAAGGUUGUACGCAACCCCCAUGAUGUGACCACCAUGGGUGAUGGUCGUGUCGUACAUACAUCUAUGGCCCACUAGAAGAUUUGGAUAGUCCCAAAUAUGGGGCUGGACACCGAGAUGCAUCUGUCAUGGAGACCAUGGCGCAGGGCGGUGUAGUCUACAUGGAAAGAUAGGAAGUAGUCGAGGAUUAGAAAAGUACUCAUUGUAAUAAGAGUAAGACUUCUCUAGUCGUAUUUGACUAGUCUUCCUGUAAUCAACCGACCUGCCCCCGUGUAUAUAAUAAGGUGAGGUAGGGACCCCCUCCAAAGCAAUCCAAUACAACCAACAUACAGGAUAUAGGGUAUUACGCUAUUAAGCGGCCCGAACAUGUCAAAAUCGUGUGUCUGCGUUUACCUUCGAGUUCUUGAUCUCGACGAGCCCCACUAACCAAAACACUACCUCGGGCACCCCCUCGGUAGGUUGCCGGAUCUAAACACCGAUAGGUGGUACAAGGUAGAUGCAAAUUGCUUUAUGGAUGUCAUUAGGCCAUAGGUAGCUUAGGAGCGGGGCGGCGUGGUGCACCCCAUCUAGAUAGCAUGAGGCACACCAGAUCUAGUUCUAGGAGAAAGAGGGAGAGGAGGAGGGGGCGGGGGCGGGGGCGGGGGGUUGGGCAGAUCCGGCCAUGGCCGCCCCUGUUGGAAGGGAGGGGACGUGGUUGUCGAGCUCAAUGAAGGUAAAUGCCUUCAAGAGUUGAAGUGCCCUUCUCAGUGCCAUGUCAUGGUCCUCAAGUAGCUCAGCUAGCUUGUCUCCCAGUCCACAACAGCAGCUAGAGCCCCCUCAUCAAUAUGCGAUGAAACGCUUUGUGGGUGGAGAGAGGAACUAGGUCCAAAAGUCAUGGUGCUAGAUUUGUCUACCGCUGAACCAUAGGGUCGAGAAGUCGGUACCGCCCGCUGCCUUCACCAUGGCAGCCGCCAAGCUUAGGAGAGUGGGAGAAGCUAGGGAGAAAAGGAAAAAGAAGGUCCCACCACCGCCGUCAUUACGAACGCACGGACUUUUGAUGAUGUACUCGAGCGACAAUGCAACUAGCAACAAGCGUAGGAAUGGGGGUACGGUGGCGGCGGCGGAGCUGGGUUUCACCCGAGUCACCCUCUCUUUAUUUUUUUCUACUAAUUCCAGUGAAUAAUAGUAUUCAAAAAUAAGAGCCAAGUUACAGUGGUGGAUAGGCACGAGGGUAAAUCUAAAUGCACAUAAAUAAGCGCCACCUAUAUGAUAUUUUGGCGACAUGCCACAAAAUCAAAGAAGAGAGAGAGAGAGAGAGAAAACUAUAUUAUUGUGGAAUUUUCGUUCGAUAUCGUUGAGGGAUAUAGGAAACGAUAUUAAGAUACAAUGUACUAUUGUGGGAGGCAUUUCUACACAUCAUUUAAUGUAUUCUAGUGUCGUAACAUAUUUGAUAUAGCACCAUGUUACAAUGCACUAGGAUUAGUCUAAUAAUAUUACUUUGAGGAUAUGUGUACAUCUUUUAAUUUAACCCAGGAUUGUUACCCCAAUGUAACAUCGGGUGCACCAUUGUAAUUUAUCUCCAGCUUCUCCGGGGUACUUGUACAGGUGGCGCCACAUACGAGCAAGUUACGAAUGUUUUGAAACGAAGGUUUCGAUGCAAUAAACAAGACCACUAAAGGAGACCGUUAAUAGUAAACAUGCUUACAUGUAAUCAUUGUUUAGGUCAAUCUAAGUGGAGAUUUUAUCAAGAGUUUCAUGACCAUUAAAUAAUAUACCACAUUAACAAUUUUGCUGACGUGGCAAAAUUAUUAUGAGGAGAGAGGAGAGGGAGUUUCAUCGUAUGUGAGAGAAAUUUCAUCACCAUGAAAUCCAACAGACCAUUGUGGCGGAACCGCCCUAAUUAACUUAGCUAAAACACAAUUAAGUCGCCUAACACGCGAUCAUGUACUUUAAUCAAGUUAACUCGGCAGUUCAUCGGAUUUUAUCCGAUAAACCACUCCACAGGACCGAGAAAGCAUAGCUCACACGAAGGUGAGUGGUUCCAGAGAAUACAAUAGAUCGUCCAAAUUAAACAAGUGCAUUGAUUUAUUACAACAUCAGGUUCGAAAUUUAAACAUAGUUUGCAGAGUUCUUAAGCAGCAAAAAUAAACAAAUGGAAGCUAGCGCCGAUGUCGGAAGUCACGAUGAGGCCGAUCAUGACAUCAAUGGUCCCUGUCCUCGCCAUCCGAGGAGGGAUCCCACUCGACCGUCCACCCAGGAGGAAGCUGGGGAGGCCAAGUGCCACUAGCAGCAAACUCGAUCGGGGGCGUCAACAUCACCUGAAAAGAUGUGCCACAACAAGGCUGAGUGGCUACGCUCAACAAGACUUAACCGACCGGUGGUACUAUUCCACCAACACCUAGACAUGCAAGCUUUUUGGCUCUGGGGUUUGCUUUUGCCAAAAGCGACUACAAUAGGUCCUUACUUUCAAUAUUUUAGCCACAGGUUCUAAGUUCAUUUACUUGUCUACGUUAGCAACUACACUAGACAAGCAUAAUUUCUCAGACAAUUAAUGACAAGCAUUAAUAUUAAAAUCAUCAAGUCCAUUCUUACUCAGUGUAGCAUAGCGAUCAAGUAGUCCCAAACUGUGAGAGGUAGACGAAUCGAUUCGAAUUUCUUAACCAUGCAUGGUGAACCUAAUCUCACGACAUCCACGCACCACGAAGGGUCACUUCCUUUGUCGGCCGUCCCCAUCAAUUCCCAGACCCGUGUCGAGCCCACUUCCCUUGGUACAAGGUUCCAUAGACCCGGCCUCUGCCGUUCUAUGACCGCACUUGUCACCACAUGAUGCACCAGGGGAAAACUCAGUUUCCAGAGACAGUGGAACAAACCGCUCACGUCCUGGUUCAAUCAGGUACUAGGCUUCCCCAUCCCAUACUAGGUAUGAGAUUAGUACUUUCAAACACUUGAUUAGGGACACCAUCACAUCUCGACCUUAGUCCAAUUUCAUGUAGACAGACGGGUCAAUCCACCAACCAUCAAAAUAGUUCACAAAGCCCUGCCCCAUCCAUCAUCCUUAUAGUUGUAUCAAAAAGGAGAGCAAACAACUCCUAUAACUUGUGAGUGACAGUCAAUCACUCGACUUUUACCGAGUCCUAUUAAGCAUUGCAACUACUCGACCUAUCAUACUAGUGUUCAGAUCAAGGGCACUAAUUCAUGCAUCUACGGUUUCAAUCAAUUCCUAGAAACGUAAAUGCACAAUCAAAACAACCAAAUAUGUUGCAAGUAGUUAAAGAUAGGAAAUUAUGAUCCGAGGCUUGCCUUCAAGUGGGGCGGUAGCGAACUGGUCUUCGGUGUGCUCGGGCUCGGCUUCUGCAGGCGGCAGCUCAGCUACGACUCCGUCUUCCGGUGCCGGGUGAAGCUCGUAGGUUCUGUCUGCGAGGUUCAUCUCUACACGAAAUGCAAUGCAUCAAGUUAAAAUCUCCACUUUUCAUAGAUCACAAAAACAAAUUAGUGCUGAAGAAGAAGAAGUUAUAUAGGCCACAUUCACCUAGACAAGAUUCUGAACUUUCUUUAUUUGCAUGAAGAAGGUGGGGUGUGGUAUAGGUCGGGGUCGGUUUGAUGGCGAUUGUGUACAUAUACGUAACAUCACUUUGUUAAGCUUUAGAUUGGAAAGUUAUCCUAUUUCUAAAUGUUCUUUUGUACCUCUUCCAAUAUAGCCUUUGUUACCUUAAGGUAGCUGGUAUUUAACUAUUUUUAACAAAAGAUAUCUUUUUUAUACCUUUACCCUAUCUAUUCUUCCCUACACAGGAAAGUGGUUCACCUAGUUACUUUUGGUGGUUUCCAUAUUUUUCCCACAAUUUGAGUUAUACUACUGAUUUGAGUCAGAAGGUUUCAUAUUUUUUUCUCAGCUCCAGAUUAAUUGUUAUGCAAAAAGGUGAAAACAACCUUUUAAACAUGGUAAAACUGAAACAGGGAGUUGUACACCUGAGCCAGCUCCAAAACAUUUUUCCUACCUUCUACUACUUGAAACAAACAUAUGAGAGUUGGUUUCAUAUUUUUAUCAUAUUUCUAUGAUUUGUUAUGAUUUAAAUGGCUUAAACAAGAAUUAAAACAUAUCGCAUUAAUUCCAACAGUGACAUGUGCCAAAAGUAUUUUUUAUUAAAAACUACACUUCAUUCUGAGCCUAGCAAAAUUGGUUUGGCAUUUUUCUAAAUUUUCUACGAAUUUUGGUGAAUUUCCAAAGUUAAACACAAUUUCUGCCUAUUAAAACAUUUAAACUGAGGUAAACUUGCGGACUAGCCCCUAGGUCUAGGGUUUAAUCACUUAAAGGUCCUGGAUUUUAACACUAAGGCCCCUGGUUUAUCUUUCUCAAAAGCAAUUGGGUCCCUGGCGGCGCACGGGCAAAAUCCCGCGAUGCGCCGGUGGCCUAGGGACGAUGAGUGGCCGGAAGGGCUUACGGGCUCGCCUUGGUCUGGUUUGAAGCGGUUGGAGGCGACGGGGAGGCUUGGCCGGGGCGGAACGACGGAAGGCAGAAAGUUUGGGCGGUGGCGGGGUUCGGCGGUGUUCCAGCAGCGGUGGUGCUUCUUUUGGACAACAAGCAAGCUCUAGAGCUACGCGAGAGGAUGGCGAAGCGGCUGGUGGUGUCGGCAAGGCGCGGGGUCGAGCAGAAGGGGGAGCUCCACGGCGAGCUCAGGCGGCGGUGUGUGAGUGCGAAGCAGAGGAGCUUGUGGUGGCGGAACUUUGGGCACGCGAUGAGGGUUCUGGACGGUUGGCUGGAGCGGAGAGGGAGGAGAAGGGGAGCGCGGUAGCACCGGCGGGGCUUUUAUAGGCGUCGGGGGCUUGUGGCUGGCCGGUGGGCCAGAGAAGGGUGGCGUGUGCUGACGCGGCCAUUAAUGGUGACGCGGCAUUGGCAGAUAGGAGGGACGGGCAGGCGCGACAGGCGAGGUGACAGGGCGAGCGACUCGACGUGAGCGUGCGCGAGACGAGCGACUCUGCCGGGGCACGCUACUGGUGAGGCGGGGGAGGAGCUGUCGCAGCCUGCUCAGCGGUUGGCGGAGGCGGAAGCAUUGCGGGGCGCGUGUGGUGGCUGCGCGAUCGGGGGUUUGACGGGAGGGCCAGAAGGCGUUGGGGCGCGCGGCCGGGAAUCCGGGUGGGGCGGAUGCACACGGGAGGCGAGGCGGCACCGGCAGCGGCGCGGUAGUGGCCGGCCUUCGGUCGCGGAGUGUCUGGGGCGGCGGCGAGGCUGCGGGCAGUGCGCCUGGCGUGGCCGGCGAGGCCUCGGGCGGAAGAGACGGGACAGAGCGGAGGGCCGCGGGUCGUCGUCGCGCGUGACUGGGAAGCGAGGCGCGUCGACCCAUCUUGUCGCAGCCGGCGACUGGGCAAGGCGGCGCUCGCCGGUGAGGCCACGCCACGUGGCGGCGGUGCUCUAGAGCGCGACGCACGCGCGCUCAGGCGCGCUCUGGCCGACGGAUCCACGGGAUCUUUUGCCGGGCCCAUCUUCGAGCCUCUUGAUCUCCCAAUUUUCAAACUGCGCCACGUUGACUCCCUUUACAAGAGUUGUAGUACACAGACCAAAGUCCAACUUUUGUAAUUUGACCGAGUUCAGAAACGCGGUGGAUUUGAAGAUUCAACGCUUCAAAGUUUGGAGGAACGCUGAUUUUCAGGACUUAGAGAAAAGCGGCGGUUUUGAUUGGUUUUCAGGGUUCUGGGUUGACUUGAGCUGCAGAUUUCAAGAGCUUCGGAGGUGAAUUGGAUGAAGGUCCAAUUAACGAAGUUGUUGUAGGAACCUAGGUCUCCAACUUCUAUAAAGGGAUUUUCAGAUGUUCUGUUCAACUUUCAAAAGAUAAACCCGCCCUAAGGCGCCAGGUCGGGCUGAUUUCCAGACUUAGCCGGAAUUGCUAAAGGAGGCUGAGUUGACCAAACUAACUAACUUUGACAUAGAUUUUGAAGGCUUUCGGGGUAGAUUUCAAACUUGCUCCUUAAAUAAAAGUUAUUAAGGUACCGAAGAUUUAAAACUUUGGUAUAGGGCUCAGCUCAAUUUGACAUUAGCAAUUUUGAAAUAGAGAGCCUCAAAGUUUGGACUUUGCCCGUUUUAAAACAAAACAACACAGAUUGGUAUUUCGUAUUUUUGGAGGGCUUCUGCUCAGAUCCAAGCAAAACACAAAAAAUGAAAGUUGUUAGGAAGAUUGAGUUCUACAACUCUUAGUUGGACAGAUUUUUAAGUUUCCAAGCAAAUAUUUGAGUUACGGUUUGGGCAGUGUUUUAAGCUUGUGAAGGGCAAAAGGGUACUUUCACUUGCCUUAUUGUUGCCCAAGUUCUUCUUUAAGCACUAAAGACUUGUUCUUAAUAUUAAAACACCGUUUAAUUAAUCUAGGUUGUUACAACACAGUUACCCAAGUUCUUACCUUUGUUAACUAUAUCAUGAAAAGAGACCUUACAACUUAUAAGCACAUAAUAACCGUGAAAUAAUGGGCCGGCUAGCUCUUUUAAUUAAGACCAGCUAGCUAAGCAAAUUGAUGCAUAUGUGCGAUUGUGGAUACAGCCAGCUUCCAGCUCACACCUCUCAUCAUGCGAAUAUUUUUUAAGCAACCUCAUCAUGCGAAUAUACUACUGUGUAGAAGCACAAGCAGUGGCACAUGGACGAAAGGGCCAUGUUUGGAUGUUACAGUUUGUUAAAGCCAUGUAAAAAAUCACAGUUUUUUCCUUAAAAGAUCAUAGUUUUAAAAAUCAAAACCAUGUAAUACCAUAAUAUUUUUUAAGUAUAGUUUUUCUCUGUUUUACAAAAAUCAUGACGUAAGUUUGGGGAGUGUUGACACGGCAAUACUGCGCUUUCAUAUAAAGACUGGCUGUGUGGACCCGUCACCGUACCCGUGUAUAUGCGUGAGCUAUCUAUUAGUAUUAUUUUACCCCUAAUUCCUAAGACAGUACUCCUAAUAUAUAUACAAGGACUAGUCACAAACUUAACACUAUCCUCGUUAAUCGAAUCAUUCUUCUUGCUGACCACGGUAUCUUGCUGAGAGAUGAUGACGCUCCAUCAUGGAAACAAGAAAUUUGGUUUGUGCAUCCCUCCAGCAUGCAUACUCUUGGCUUUCAAAACUGCAAAAAUCCCCGAUGUCCCCUCAAACAAAAAAUAUCUGAGACCAUGCACUACCAGAAAAUGGAAGAUUCCUGACGGUUUGCGUAUCGUCAGGAACUAGAGAGUAAUCCUGUCGGAUCAGAAAAACCAUCAGGAAAGAUCUAGACUACUCAUUAGUAUAGUUUUUCCUACUACUUAUUAUCGCAACUAAUUCCAACUUGUUGCAAGUUUGCAACAAAGCUCUGAAAGCAAAAACAAGUUGGCAAAAAUUAAAUAACCCACGUGGAAGUAUACACGAAACAGUGCAAAAACUACAAAAGUUAUAUGGGACAGAAAAAUUUACAUAGACAGAAAAAUUAAACUAUUUACAGAAAAUCAAAUACACCGUAUAUCUAAAAUCAGUCCAUCUUGCUAGCGAUUAUGGGGCAAUAAUCGCAAGUACUCUCACCUUUUAAAAUAAAGUAUUUACCAACAAACCACCCAAUGCAACACACGAUCUAGCUAGGUACUCACUAUGAUUAAAAGACACAAACAAUUAAUAUAAACUCCUAAGGACGAAAAGGAGCAAAACAUCUCAAGAAAAAGAGCAAACGACACAUAAACUGUGAUAUAAAGUAAAUAAGAAAUUAGAAACAAUUUAGGACUCGUUCGGUUACUCUAGAAUGAGUCCGUGGAACGAUUCCUGGGUGGAAUGGUUUACUAAUUUGUAUAAUCUUGAUAAGUUGGAUUGGUUCCCAGGUCCAAUCCUAACUAAUCGAACGGAUCCUUAGAGAGAACGAAUUCGAAAGGAAACAAAACUGCCAGAACACAUUGAAUGAUACGCACAACACAUCUCGCUAUAAUAAACAGUCAAUGAUCCUUCAUCUAAGUAGUAGAAAAACUGAGAUCGAUCUUUACAUGAUAUGUAUCUAUAUCUAAUAUGGUGGUUUCUUCCAACCGUCGUGGUUGUUUUGCAAAAAGAAUUCCUCAAUUUUUUUAAUCAACCCGCAGUCCUAGAGUUAAACUACCGUAGUUCGUUGACGAGUUGAAAAAAAAUAUCUCGCAUUUUUCGUAAUCGACCUGCCACCCUAAUAGGAGCAUGAACUUCUUGCUGCGGUCCAGUCAAACAGCCCAGCAGUUCCGAUCCAUCUCCUCUGUUUCCCAAGCUCCUCACCGUGCCGCACUAGUGGCGCGACACGGAGCUCCGAUCUCGCCAUGCACGGAUGCUAUCGCCCACUGCUGCACCCGUGCGCGCUGCCCUGAUCUAGCGCCGACUUUCUUGGAAGUGGUUUGCUGUGAUCUCACAUAUAAUCUGCGCAGCAGCAAAGCAUAAACUGUUGUCGUAGCAUUCUACCUAGCACAGACGCAAAGUGCGGCAUCUCCACCCUGCUGCUUGCUGCCGACACUGACCGCAGGCCAUCACAAGUGCCUGGCAUCCACCUAACAUUACUGAUGCAGUGGUGCUGCCUGGAGUGCUCGUUGGUACUAUGCUGCUCGGAGUAUGGUCAAGCUGGUUCAGUAAUUGCUAGAUGAAUUUGCAUACGGUAAAAGUUUUAAAUUUAGAAGUGGCCCAGCAAAUUCUAAUCAAGGGUAAUCAUUUAUUUAGCAUUGCUUUUUUUAUAGGUUGAAAAGUUUAGUGGGUAAUACGUCUGUAAUAACAUGCUAAUGUAUAAAAAGCUAAAAUUGGAGUUGCAUGCAUACUGAAUCUAUAUACCAGAAGCUUCAAUGUAUGUUUAAAUCUGAUGUUGAGUACAUUAUAAAUUAAAUAAUGGCAAAACAACCUAGACAGCCUAAGGACUGCUCUACAAUCUUGCACGCUGAACCUCCUUAAUUUAAUCAGAAUUGCUAAUUUAAAUUUUAACUUAGUGAUUAUAAUACAGCCGGAGAACGAGCCGAGGAUCAAAUACAAAUUUCAUGGAGCACUCUAAUACUAAAAUUGCCGGAUGAUUGGACCAACAUACAUUGUGAUAAUAAAUUAAUUGCGAUUUCAAUUGUGCACACCAAAGUUACAUUUAUUAGUACGAAGAUUUUAGGAAAAUAUGAUAGAUAACUUAGGAAUUAAAAAAGGUGAAGUAUCAUAUCAUCCAGUUACAUCGAGAACUUCCGUAUUCUUGUGAUACCAUCUGGUAUGAAAUCUAUGAACUUUUCUCCUUGUGAUAGCUUAUCUACUUGUUUAAUUUCCCUUGUGCAGAAUUUCGGGAAGGAGAAGAAGAAAAGUGAUAUAGCACCAUGAAACAUGAAGUGGGAAUAAGUAGAUAAUUAUUUUAGAAAAAGUAAAGACCCGUUGCAACGUACGAGCACUUUUGCUAGUAAUAUAUAUACGCGGAAAGUACAACGACACACACAAAAAUCACCGUGGCCGGCCAGCUAGCUAGGCGUCACCGCCGGCAUGGCAACCGCCAUAUGAUUCGUCACGGCGACGAGAUCGGAGAGCGCCCUGAGGAGCUCGAUCCUCGCCCGGAGCCGCACGAUGUAGUCGGUGGUGCGGAGGAGCAGCCGGUCGGCCGGCACCGCGUUGCCGCCGGGCACCAGCCGCCGCAGCUCCCGGACCUUCCGGUCCAUCGUCUCCGCCGCGCGCCGCCGCCGCCGCCGGCGUCCUUGGCACGGCGAGCGCCGCCUCUCCUCCAUAUGCUGUAUCUGGCAACAGCUAGCUAGCGUGUGCCGGAUGAAAAUCGUACGUGCGCGACGACGUGUGUGGUGUACGUGGGAGAAGCUGAGCUGGUGGAAUAAAUAGAGGCAGGAGGACCUCUUCCGGGGAGAUGAAAGUUUCGGUAGGGGGGUGGGUGCAAAAGGGCCGGUGAGCUGUGGCUUGUCGCGUAGCGUGGGGCCCGUGCGUGGACGCCACCACGGCUUGUCCUGCACACGUGUCUGACAGCUCCCCCGAUCGCCCCAGGACCGGGGGGAUUUAGUGCCUGAUCUUUUUAUUCCCGUUCUGCCCCUCCUCCUUCAUCGUAACCCGACCCUUCUUCUUUGUUUGGACUUUGGACCUACCACACUGGUAUCCAGGUUUGCUGGAUUCGGGGUGAAUCAUCAAUGCUGGUGCCCUGCCCUACGUUUCGAUUAUAAGAAGAUCGAGUUGAUGUCAGCCAUGAUCUAUGGCAUCAAACAGUGGAGGUUGCUCUUCCUCUAUGUCAUUGUUGUCGUACCAUGAGAUGGCUAACUGAUAAUAACUAUAGAAGAAAAAACGUAAAUGGUGAUGAAUUAUAAAUUUAAUAUAAUUAUUUUUAUAAGGUCAAUCUUAGCGUACAGUUUCAUUACACUAAUAUUCUUAUAUUGUUAUAUUGGUAGCUAAAUCUGUUUGGUGUCUUGAGGAUAAAAGUCCCCUCUCAUAUGUUCGCAUAAGAACUAGUCAGCAAAUUUGCUGAGUUGUCAUAUAGUUUAAUGUCCAUGAAAUUUGUCAUGGAACCCAUUAACACUAGCCUAAUAAUUGUACUAGUAAAUGAUAUGUUUGGAGGGAAAAGUUCUUUAUCUAUACUAUCUAUACUAUAAAGAUCCAAAUCUAUAUAUCCAAAACAAUUGAAAACACUUCUCACUCAGAGUUACACCCCCGUACCCCUCAUAGAGGACUCACUUGAUAGGUCUGGAGGGGUACCAAAGUUUUGAGGAGGGGUCUAAAAUAGUUCUGCCUUUUUGCCAUUUCUUUUUUCACCGUAAAAGAAUUCUACCCACCUGCGUACCCACCUCAUCCCACCCCAUUAAUUUUGCAUCCACAUCACCGUACCCCCCUUCACUUGCCAUGUUUGGUGCUUACAUGGUCGUCCCGCCCCUCUAAUUUUGCAUCAAGAUUUUUUGUUCAUGAUUUUUCCUCCACGAGAUCGUCCGACGUCCACACCUAUGCAUGUUAAUUACGAUGACUAGAAAAGGAAGCUUAUUCACGUUGUUUCCUAUUGCUUGAAAUCUUGUCACGUUGUUUCCUUUUCUUUUUGGUUGGUGGAUCACGUCAUAAUAUUGUUUUCUUCUACUUGAAUCACAUCGAGAAUGACAUCUCCUUUUGGGCAGCCAUUGCUGUGCGCCUCCAAGCCGUAUUCGGUGAUAAUUGGCAGCCAUUGCCGAUUGACGCCUCCAAGACAUAGACCUCCAUGUCCGGCUUGUCGAUCCUACCCCAACACACAGAUGCCUCCAAGUUCGUCUUGCCGGCACAUCGGCAACAAGCAGGCCAACAUCGCAGUAAAUUGACAAAGAGCAUGCCAACAUCACAGUAAAUUGAAGGCAAGGUCAGGCCCUCCACGCUAUUCUCGAUGUCCUUUUGUUUAGCCUUUCUAGAGUUUACAAUUCAAAUGUUUUUUAUUUUCAGCACCUUUUCGACGCCAUUGGCCAUCAUCCUGCUAACUUUCUACGAUCGCGGCUGGCUUCUGGUUCAUGGUUGCUAUGAUGAGCUUGUAUUGUGUGUAUGAGGUGGCAUGGACGAAAUCACGAAAAGAUCGGUACCAGUUCCUUUGAUGACCACAUGCUUAAUUUGACACCCAAAUAAUGUUUUGUGCCUCCUUACUACCACAGAUGAUUAGUGUAAUAAACCACCAUUAGAUUGAUUAAGUCUCAUGAUCUCAUCCCUCUCAUCUCGCAAGGAGAGGAAAGUUGAGCCACCGUUCCUAUUUUUCCUGUCUGUGUUUUCCUUCUCUGAAUUUUUUUUUCAAAAUGCGGUGAGCUGAACUUUGAGUAUCACAACUUUGCUGAUAACAAGACACACUGAAUGCGUCCACACCCUUAUUUGAGUUUUCCAACAGUAAAUAAUCAACUAUUUGUUUUUUCAGUUAAACACGUGUGAGCAUAUGAAAGUUCCCCUUUCGUUCCACGAUUUUACAUGAGAGGGAUAUAGAAGAAUUAGGCUAUAUACUCCUGCAGAAAUAUAUAUGACUGUGGUUUGGCAUACUGUGAUAAUACUUUACAUUAGAAUAGUCCUUAUUAAUAUUUUUUCUUCUAUAUCUCUAUGCCUGCUGUAAUUGAUCAAUGACUUGAUAAUUCAUUUAUGAGAUUGUGCAAUGUAAUUGUAUUGGUGCGAUUGGUUGUCGUUCCUAUGUUCUUGAUUAUACUUCCUGAAGGUUGCAGACACAUCAACCUCCUCAUCGGUGAACCUUUUCUUACAACCAUAGCCAGGGCCUCCUUGUUUGAUUUAUUAUAGGGUUUAUUGUAGCUCCUCUCUAUGCGCUCGGUGCAUGCCCACACCAGAGUAAGUAUGACCUUGCAAUUGGUUUUACAUGCAUGAUGUACUGUAAUACUUCUUUGAGACUGUGUGAAUUGUCAAUCUGGUAAGAUCAUGUCGGUCUAUUUUUUUGUUUCUCCAGUAAAGUUAGGACAUGCAUCAUUCUAGAUGAUUAUUUUGCUACACAGUUGAGGCAAAGAAAAUAAAUAAAUAUAGUGAUUAAUUGUUGCGAAACACUUCCAGAUUAAUACUAUUGUGAAAUUGCAUUAAAAAAAAUACUUGCCAACUGAUUGCUACUUUGUGUGGUUUUGAACAACUAGCUUAGUGAUGUAUGAGCGUGUACGUGCCAAUUUUUCCUUGUGGUGAUGUGGAUUGGCUCGGUGAUUCUGAUACUACAACUUUUCGUUUCAGGUUUGGAAGUCAUCGUUGUAGCUGACAAGCAAAUAAUGCAGAGCUAAUACAUAGAGAAAUUUGAAGAUUUCAAAAUUUGGGACAUGUAGUUCUGUUUCAGACACUAUCUUGGCAUUGACUGAAUAUUAACAUGUGCUCCGUAUAGAUGGCAACGGGCACAUUACCCGCGGGUAGAGGGUUCACAAACCCGCACCCACGAGGCAAACCCUGUGCCCGCACCCACGCCCGUGACCCGCACCUGUCACUCACGGGCACAGUGUACCCACGGGCACACCCGUACCCGCCAGCAAGAUCACAAAUUCACAGUUCACAAACCAGUACAGAUCACAGAUCCAAUGCACAACAACACAAGUUCACAAAUAUGGUUCACAAAUAACAGUUCAAAAAUAUGGUUCACAAAUAACAAUUCACAACUAUUGUUCACAGAUUAUUCAACAUCUUAAUAACAAGAGUACAAGGCAAAUAAAUAUGGUUCAACAAGCACAAGUGACAAGUCUAGAACAACACACACAUGGCUCAAAUCACACAAGUAUUGUUCACAUAACAGAUACAAAUGAACAACAAGCUUAAUCAGAGUUGACAGUAGAGAUGCAAGGUUCUUCCUUCAUUUCUUCUUCAAUGUCUUCAAGGCAGGACCAAAAGGUGUCAAUCUUUCCAUCAUCUUGACCUACAAAUGCACAUUGGAAUAAGAAGACGUCAUUAGUAAGCUGCUUCCAUAAGAUCAUUAGAAUGAGAUGACAACAUUGACAAGCUGUAGGAAUCAAAAGCAUAACUCUUUACCUUUAAGAUUGUGACGGAACCAACUUUGGCUGCACAUCAAAGCUUCCAACAUUUGUGGAGUAAGACGGCUGCGAUGCUCACUUAGAACCCUCCCACUAGUGCUAAAAGGUGAUUCAGAAGCUACUGUGGUUAUGGGAAUUGCCAAAAUAUCAUGAGCAAUCAACCUCAAAGUAGGGAAGCGAGUUCCAGCCACCUUUUACCUUCCACCAACCCAAGACAUCAAAGUACUCAUUCUCAUCAUGAGGAAGAGGAUCUUCGUCCAAGUACCGAUCUAACUCACUCUUUGCUUUAACAAGACUUGAGGUCUUCUUAGUGGCAGCAAGUAUUCUGAAUAUGGACAGAACAACAGCAACACUAACAGUAGAGUUUGAAGCCCCAUAAGAUGAUGUACCCACAACCUCUUGAUCAAUUUGCACUUGGUACUCAUCCAUCAAUUGAGUUAGCAAUUCAUAGCUCUUUUGACAAUAUCUAUCUGCUUCUUCUUGACCCAAAAGAGCCAUAUAGCACGCUUGCAACAUGAUCAUCUUAAGGCAUGGAUCAAGAAUAACAGCAACAGCCAUGAGACCUUGGAUAUCAUACCAAUACUUAUCAUAGUUCUCUAUCAUUGCAGUGGACAUGUUUCUAAUGAUCUCAUUUUCAUCUUCUUUCCAAGAGUUAAUUUUAGGUUUGAUCUCACAUACUUUAGGAAAGAAGAUAUUAGCUGUCACAUACUUUGUUCCAGAAAACAAUUCAGUGAGCUGAUAGAACACUUCUAAUUUCUUACAAACAAUAGCUGCAAAUUUCCAAUCAUCAUUUGGUGGGCAAACAAAGUGUUGUUCAAGAGUGCCCAAAUGAUCAAAAACCUUCCUAUAAGGUAUAGCAGUACUAAUCAUGAUAAAAGUUGAAUUCCAUCUAGUUUUGCAAUCAAGAUAUAGUUUUUUCUUCAAUUCAACCUUCUGUUGUUGAGCUACUUUCACAAAUUUUUCAUACCUCUUUGGUGUAGCAAUCCAAUAAGCACUACGCUCUCUGAUUCUUGCAAUAGAUUUCUUGAUCAUUUCCAAUCCAUCUUGUACAAUGAGGUUCAAUAUGUGCGCACAACAACGGGUAUGCAAAUGCUUUCCACCUAGCAACAUAUUACCCUCCCCAAGCCUUGAUUCCAUUAGACCAAUCAUGCUGUCAUUGACACUGCAAUUGUCAAGUGUCAUAGUGGACACCCUGCAAUCAAGAUCCCAACUCUGGAGGCAUUUAAGUAGUACAUCACAAAUAACUUCAGCAGUAUGGGGGCAUGGCACAUAUACAAACCUGGAAAAUACAAUUGAAAUAAGUUGGAGUAAAAGACAAAUAAGACAACAACUAAUUCAAGUACAGGACAAAUAGGACAGCAACUAAUUCAAGUACAAGACAAAUAGGACAACAACUAAUUCAAGUAAAACACAAAUAGGACAGCAACUAAUUGAAGUAAAACACAAAUAGGACAGCAAGUAAUUGAAGUAGGACAGCAGGAAAUCACCUCAAAAUGCAGCUUCUAAGGGUCCAUGAGUCAUCAAUAAAAUGUCCAGUGACAGCCAUAUAUCCUCUUUUCUAAUUAUCAGCAGUCCACAGGUCAGUUGUAAUGGCUACAUGACAACUGAGCUUCUGAAGAAACAUCCUAGCUUUUCUUUUCUCCACAUCAUAGCAGUUCAGGAUGCCCUUCCUAAUAGUGUUUCUAGUUCCUAUCUUGAAUAAGGGUUGCAAAGCACUAACAAAUUGACCAAAACCAAGAUGAUCCACAAUGGACAGAGGGUACUCAUGCAGUGUAAUCAUCGUGUAAAGUGCUUUCCUAGCUACAUCUUGAUCAAACAUAUAAUUUUCAACAGCUACUGCACCCUUGUCAGUGGAUGCAAACCUCAAAUUUGCUUGCAAUUUGUCACCGGGCUUCUUCCUAUAGAUGCAGAUUUUCAGAUGAGUACGCAGAUGGUUAGUACCAUUUGUUGUUGUAGCUGAAAGCUUCUUGCCACAAUGGUUGCACUUUGCCUUCCAAACUCCAUCAUCAUCACAAACUUGUGUGAAGUCCUUCUGUACAGCAGAUGUGAGCUUCCUAUGCGAACCCUGUGAGUGAGUUAAACCAACAGUACAAUCUUCGGCCUCACGAUCAUCAACUUCAUCAUCAAUGGCGAUAACCUGAUUACCAGGGAGAGCUCCGUCAACAGGGAUGGAAGCCUGCGAGACCUGCUCAGGUUGGACACUACUCCCAGGAGUCCAACAACAUGACACAAGUUAACUACCUAUCACUAGAAUAACAGAUCUAGCAUACUAAUGGCAACAACAACUUCUAACCAUCCAAAUUGAACCAAAAAAGCUACUGACAAUCACAAAAAUAGCUACUGACAAUCACAAAAUCAUUCAUUCAUUCUAGACCGAACACUGCCUAUCACAGAUCACAAAAUCAAUGGCAAGGCAGAAGUGUAGUUCAUGGAUCUAUCGUUCUACUGAAUAGAGAAUGAAGAAAAAGUGAGUGGACAGUGGACUGACCUGGGGGCGGCGACAGGGGCUGCAGGCGCCAGGCGGAGUGGCCUCGCUGGCGGGCGGCGGAGUGGCCUCGUUGGCGGUAGGCGCCGAAGUGGGCGGCGGGUGGCGAACCGGGUGGCAGCUGGAAGGUGGGCGGGCGGAGCAGUGGCGGCGGGGAGGUGGUGGCGGCGGGAGCGAGGGAGAGUGGAGUGGUGGCCGCGGGGAGGUGGCGGCCAGCGGGAAGCGAGGGCCGAGGACGGUCGGCGGUCGGUGGGGAACUGGCUGCGGCCUGGGCGCGAGGUGUGGGAGCGGCCUGGCGUGCGGGAGUGCGACCGUGCAGGCCUGCGGGGGACCCCGCCGGGGCCCAGGGUGCGGGGGAGGACAAGGGAUUAAGGGGAUUAGGGAUUGAGGGGAACCCUAGAAAAUCCUUUAUAUACUUGUGCGAAGGCCCACAUGUCAGGCGGGUUCGCGGGCACGGGUAAGGUAUUUUUGUACCCACUAAUUUUUUACCUGCAGGCACAAACUCAAACCCGCACCCGUGCCCGUGGGUACAAAAUGGCACCCGUACCCUCGUCCUACCGGGUUUUUGCAAGCGGGCACGUGGGUAAUUUGUACCCGUUGCCAUCCCAUAGUGCUCCGUGACCUGGUGGGAUCUGCAACUGAAAGUAAGUAUCUUCCUUUGGAGAUGGUGAUCGGCAAGAAAUAAAGCAAUCCUGGGGAGAGAAUUUGGAAAACUGAAGUUUGAUCGAGAUUGAGAGAAAACAGACUCAAACCCAAGCUAAAUGGAGUCCACUGUAUGAGGGAACAUAGCAGAUCAAUAUUGAUGCAGCUUUUUUUCUCCCAAGGAGAUGAAUUGGGUUGGGGUUUUGUGGCAAUAGAUACUCUGGUUUUGAGAUGGUACAGAACAAAGCCCUGGAGUUUAUAUACAAAUUAGUAACUGGUGAUAUGCCUGGAUCGGUUGUUGCUUAAUGGAAGUUAUAUUCGUUUCAAAAAACUAAUACACAAGCUUUUGAAAAGCGACUUUAUACUUUCUAUUUGGAUGAAUUUUCCAAAUUAAGCUUCCUAAAAUAAGUAUUUUUACUAAAUUUUUUUUCUAAAAACACGUGCGGCGCACGUGCACUUUACUAGUAAAGUGAGAGAUAAUGAUCCAAGGAGUUAGAGGAGGCAAGGAAGAUUGUGUUUGUAGUUGAAAAUCAAUCUUAGUAUUUAAAGUAACCGUUCCCUAUCAAUAAAAAAAAUUACUCCCUCGUUUCAAAUUAUAAAUCAUUUUAACUUUUCUAAAUUCAUAACUUUUGUUAUACACCUAGAAAUAAAUUAUAUUUAAAUGUAUAGAAAAAUUAUGUAUCCAGUAUCAAAAUGACCUACAAUUUAAAAUGGAUGGAGUAUUAGCUAGCCCUUAAUGCAUCCCGACACAGCUAUGGAUUCGAAAAAACCAUCAAGCUUUAGGGGGUGUUUGGUAGCAUUCCACUCCACCAAAAACAGCUCCACUCCACCAACUCCACAAAAGUUCCUACCAAACAUGUCCAGCUCCACAAACUCCAGCUCUAGGAAAAAACAUGGAGGUAAAGGUUAGAUAUAUCCACGAUUUUUUAUACCUCAAGAGGUGCUCAAAAAUAAUAGUUUUAGACCUCCUCAUGAAGGAGUGGGGUAAUUACCCACCAUGCCACUGGUCACACGAUACCGGUUUGCAAAAAAAGAAAAGAACUCACCGGAAUGCGCCACCGGCGCAUGCCUGACCGCACUGCCCCCACCCACAGGACAACAUGCCACCAAUGCCAGUCGGGGCACGCAUCGCCGCCGAGUGCCUUGGUGCCCUCCUCCGGCAGAGUCAUCGACGAGCAGAGGAGCAACAGGAGGUCAUCGACGAGUCGAGGUCAAGCUCUUCGGAGCCUUGCCGUCACUCGCCGGGGCUGCGCGUGCCGCCGCUGCUCGCCGACCGAGCUGCCGCGCCGUCCGCUGCCGUGCAAGCUCCCGUGCCGUCCGCCACCACGCGUCGGGCCUUGGUCGUUGGCCCCUCUGCGAUGUCGCUGCCUCCUCCCCGCAUCUGGUAGCCGACGGGCGCGCCGGCCCGCGCUGAUAUGAACCCGCUAGGGUUGAUUCCCAAUCUUUCGAUGAGAGGCGUGGGAUAACUCAAUUGGUCAAUGGAGACGACGUUCACGGCCCGACUACAGCCUUCCAAGCUGCGCCUUAGCAACCAAUACACCACCUCCAAUGGCUGCCGCGAUCUUGUGGAGCGUGUCACCCGGCCACUAGGGCACUCGUCCUGCAAGCAAUCGAAGAACUAGCAAGAACAAGUAUAACAAGUACUGAAUUUACUAGAUGAAGAUGAAGGUUUUCAACUCAAUCUCAAUAAGGUGGGGUUCCGAAGAUAGGAAGACGGGCGGCUGAUCCGGCACGCGCGCUUACAAGCAAGUAGCGAGAGCUAAACUUGAUCUAAACAAAACCCAAUCUGUUUGUGGCGGCUCUAAUCCUUAUUAAUGCCUAGGAGGACGACCAGGAGGGUGUUGGGGUCGUGCUCCAACCCUAGGACAUGUCCCUAAUGGAUCCAACUUGAUACACGGCCCAUUGGGCCAAAAUAAGGUGACGCAGCACCAGAAAACCUAUCGGUAGUAAAUUGGUCAUUGCGACCGUCUCAGACCAGAUAUAGACUUGAGUCCAGAUCCAUAUGAAAAUAGACUUCAUAAUGAAUCCGUGAAGUACUUGAACGCCCCAAUCCGUGUCCGUAUGCGACCGUGGUGACCAUCACAAGUUGGUACUGUCCUGGAGUCCGAAUCCAGCCUGCGCGAGUCCGUUUCCCUUUCGGUCUUCUCCAUGAUUCCUAACCAAAACAAGAGUGCACGCGUCUCCAUGGUCUAAAUAGGAUUGAUAGGAACUCAAGAGUGAACUUACUUGAUGAUUAAGUUGACGAGCACGGGCGCGAGUUAUAGGACCAGAAACUGGUACUUAUGUAGGUGUGGAUGUAUCGUUGGUGUUGAUGUCCUCAUCAUCCUCCCCUUCUUGCAUUUGAGUCGUCCUCGAUGCAAGCUCUUCUUCUUCUCCCAAAUAUGGCUUCAAAUCUGCAAUGUUAAAUGUGCGACUAGCCCCAAAAUUGGCAGGCAGAUCGAGCUUAUAUGCAUUAUCAUUAACUUUCCCCAACACUUUAAAGGGUCCAUCAGCCCGAGGCAUCAAUUUAGACUUUCGCAAUUCAGGAAACCUAUCCUUUCUCAAGUGCAACCAAACUAAGUCACUAGGUUCAAAUAUUAGUUCCUUUCUACCUUUAUCACUGGCAAACUUAUAUUUAGCAUUCAUACGCUCUAUGUUUUCUUUAGUUGUUUCAUGCAGUUUUAACAUCAAUUCAGCACGCUUAGUAGCAUCAAAAUUUAAUUUUUUAGAAGAUGGCAAAGGCAUCAAAUCAAUAGGAGCACGAGGCAAGAAACCAUAUACAAUCUGAAAUGGGCACAUCUUUGUAGUAGAAUGCAGCGAACGAUUAUAAGCAAAUUCAAUGUGAGGCAAACAAUCUUCCCACAUCUUAAUGUUCUUCUUUAAAACAGCCCGUAACAUAGUAGACAAAGUUCUGUUGACAACUUCAGUUUGACCAUCAGUUUGGGGAUGACAUGUAGUAGAAAAUAAAAGCUUAGUUCCUAGUUUGCCCCAUAAAGUCUUCCAAAAAUGACUAAGAAAUUUAGCAUCAUGAUCAGAAACAAUGGUGUUGGGCACACCAUGCAAACGAACAAUUUCUCGAAAGAACAAAUCAGCAAUAUGGGUAGCAUCAUCAGUUUUAUGACAUGGUAUGAAAUGUGCCAUUUUAGAAAAUCUAUCAACAACCACAAACACACUAUCACGGCCCUUCCUAGUCCUUGGCAAACCCAACACAAAAUCCAUAGAAAUAUCUUCCCAAGGAGCACUAGGCAGGUAGAGGCAAAUACAAACCAUGUGGAUUUAAUCGUGACUUAGCCUUUUGGCAAGUUGUGCAACGAGCAACAAACCUCUCCACAUCUCUUCUCAUCUUUGGCCAAAAGAAAUGACCAGCAAGGACGUCCUCCAUUUUCUUCACUCCAAAAUGCCCCAUCAAGCCACCUCCAUGCGCUUCAUGUAGCAAUAACAAACGAACGGAGCUAGCUGGAAUGCAUAGCUUGUUAGCUCUAAACACAAACCCAUCACUAACGAUGAAUUUGUUCCAUCCUUUUCCAUCUUUGCAAUGCAGCAACACAUCUUUAAAAUCAGCAUCAUUAACAUAUUGGUCUUUAAUUGUUUCUAAUCCAAAGAUUUUGUAAAGUUGAUUCAGCAAAGUAUAUCUCCUAGACAAAGCAUCAGCAAUAACAUUCUCUUUCCCUUUCUUGUGCUUAAUAACAUAAGGAAAAGAUUCAAUAAAUUCAACCCACUUAGCAUGUCUACGGUUCAGAUGUCCUUGACUACGAAUAUGUUUCAAAGAUUCAUGAUCAGAAUGAAUAACAAACUCUUUGGGCCACAAAUAAUGCUACCAUGUUUCUAAUGUGCGAACAAGAGCAUAAAAUUCCUUAUCAUAAGUAGAAUAAUUCAGAACAAGCCCGCUCAAUUUUUCACUAAAAUAUGCAACAGGUUUGCCUUCUUGUAACAAAACACCACCCAAUCCAAUUCCACUAGCAUCACAUUCAAGCUCAAAAGUCUUAUUAAAAUCAGGGAGUUGGAGGAGGGGUGCAUGUGUCAACUUAUCUUUUAGCAUGUUGAAGGAGUUUUCUUGUACUUUGCCCCAACUAAAAGGCACUCCCUUCUUCGUGAGCUCAUUCAAUGGUGCAGCAAUGGUGCUGAAGUCCUUCACAAAACGGCGAUAGAAACCAGCAAGUCCUAGGAAACUCCGCACUUGCGUGAUAGUCUUCGGUAUAGGCCAUCCCUGUAUAGCUUCUACCUUAGCUUGAUCAACCUCAAUUCCCUGUGGAGUCACAACAUAACCAAGAAAAGACACUCGAUCGGUGCAAAAGGUGCACUUCUCAAGGUUACCAAAUAAACGCGCAUCUCGUAAAGCAUUAAAAACAGCACGUAAGUGAUCAAGGUGGUCAUCCAUAGAUUUGCUAUAAAUCAAUAUAUCAUCAAAAUAGACCACAACAAAUUUUCCAAUGAAAGCACGAAGAACCUCGUUCAUUAAUCUCAUGAAAGUACUAGGUGCAUUAGUUAACCCAAAAGGCAUGACUAACCACUCAUAUAAACCAAAUUUAGUUUUAAAAGCAGUUUUCCAUUCAUCUCCUAAUUUCAUACGAAUCUGGUGGUACCCACUACGCAAAUCAACUUUGGAAAACACAACAGCACCACUAAGUUCAUCAAGCAUGUCAUCCAAUCGUGGAAUAGGAUGUCGAUAUCGAAUGGUGAUAUUAUUGAUAGCUCUACAGUCAACACACAUACGCCAUGUUCCAUCUUUCUUAGGCACUAAAAUAACUGGAACAGCACAAGGACUAAGAGACUCAUGCACAUAACCUUUGUCGAGUAGUUCUUGCACUUGUCGCUGAAUUUCUUUCGUUUCUUCCGGAUUUGUCCUGUAUGGCGCAGUUUGGCAAAGAUGCACCAGGAAUAAGAUCAAUUUGGUGCUCAAUCCCUCGUAUCGGUGGCAGCCCUGCUGGGAUCUCACUUGGAAACACAUCAGCAUACUCCUGCAAAAUGUUAGCAACAACAGGAGACAAAGAAUGCUGCAUGUCGUGAACCGAAAUCAAAGCAUCCUUGCAUACCAAAGCAUAGGCAACAGAAGUGGAAGCAACCAAUUCAUUAAUAUCAGAUUUAGUAGCAAGCAAGCAAUGUACUUUCAAUCUUAUCUCAUCUUUCUUACUACUAACAGAUUUGACAUUUCUUUCGCUCUCGGUUUUAGUUUUCUUAGCUUUAGCAACAUCAUCACGUACAAUAGCUUCAGGAGACAUAGGAAGCAAAACAAUUUUCUUAUCAUGGUGUAUGAGAGAAUACUGAUUUGAUCUACCAUGAUGCAUACAAUCCGUAUCAAAUUGCCAUGGUCUACCUAGCAGAAUAUGACAAGCUUCCAUAGGCACAACAUCACAUUCAACAACGUCAUGAUAUGAUCCAAUAGCAAAAUUAAUUCGCACCAAUCUCGUUACCUUAACCUUACCGCUAUUGUUGAGCCAUCGAAUAUGAUAUGGAUGUGGGUGCGGUUUGGUUGUAAGUGCAAGCUUCUCCACCAUAUCGCUGCUAGCCAAGUUGUUGCAGCUACCUCCAUCAAUUAUCAAACGGCACGAACGCUCUUUAAUGACACACUUUGUUUGGAAUAGUGUAUGCCGCUGAUUUUGCUCUGCCUUCUCCAUUUGUGCGCUAAGCACACGCUGCACAAUGAGGCUCUCAUAAUGAUCUGCAUCCUCUGCACCAAUCUCUUCUUCUGGUUGUUCCUCACUACCUGCAUGGUCAGCAGCAAGCAAACCAAGUGUAUCUUCAUCAAAAUCACUAGCAGAGGAAUACCCACCAUCUUCUUUGACCACCAAAACACGCUUGCUAGGACAGUCACGCUGCACGUGUCCAAAGCCCUUGCAUCGAUGGCACUGAACAUCUCUUGUUCUACCCGUGGAUGCAACCGAAGUGGUACUAGUGGCUGGUUUCUGGGCAGUCUUGGUUGCUGAAUUUGUGGGAGGAGCACGUUGCUUGUCGCUGGACAGAGAUGGUGGUGCCAGCCGACUCGGAGAGUGAGCGGGUGGAGGUGCACGUCCGGUCAAAGAAGUAGUCGUACGUGGCUGCCAUGAUGUAGAUUUUCCUGCAGAAAUAUUAGUCUUGGUACUAGCACGUCGCCCCUGCACUUCCCUUUCAGCUUUACAAGCAAGAUGAAACAAACGGGUUAUGUUAGUAUAAUCUUUAUAAGCAAGGAUGUCCUGAAUUUCACGGUUUAAACCACCUAAAAAUCUAGCCAUAGCAGGUUCCUCACCCUCCUCUAAGUUACAACGCAGCAUACCCAUUUGUAACUCCUGAUAAUAUUCUUCUACACUUUUAGCACCCUGUCUCAAUUGUUGCAACCUAUUUAAAAGAUCACGUGCAUAGUAAGAAGCAACAAAUCUAGCUCGCAUGACCCGUUUCAAAGCAUCCCAUGUUUGUUGCAUGUUAUUAGGAUUUUUCUUGCCAUGUUCUAUCCACCAAACAGAAGCAAAAUCAGUGAACUCACUAGUAGCAGCCCUAACACGUGUAUUUUCAGGAAACUCAUGACAUGCAAACUUUUGAUCAACAGCAAUUUCCCAAGUAAUAUACGCAUCAGGAUCAUAUUUACCAUCAAAAGGAGGUAUCUUAAAUUUUAUCUUACUGAAAGCAUCAUCAUUAUUAUGUACCUCGCGUCGUCGAUAACCACCCAUACCUCUGCGAUUAUUGCGUAGUCGUCGGCGAUCAUGAGCAUCUGGGUCAUCUUGUUCAGUAUCAACAUCCCAAUUGUCCUCGACAUGCUCAUCCUUGUUGUUAUCUCCAUCAUGUCCAUUAGUGGUUUUGGCAUGCAUCUCAUCAAAUCGCCUCAAAAUAGCAGCAAGGCUUUUGUCAAUACGAGCGACUGACGUCUCCAGCCCUGUAAGCUUGGUGUUGGUGGCAAGCUGCGUGGCCUCCAACUGCCCAAUCUUCUCAUUCGUCACCUGCAAAUCAUCAUCGAGCCCCUCGACGUGCCCCUUCACUAGCUUUUCAAAAUGUUGUAUGAUGCCCUUGGUGCGGGGAGAAUGUGGCAUAUUCUGACUAUCCUCUGAUCCUGUCAUGGUUAGACAAACAAAGGCAACAAGAAAACAGGUGAAGAAAUAAAAACCCUACAGCUAUUAGGAUGUAGCUACUGCAAGGCGCUCACUCUCAACCCGUUACACAAGCUCUUACCAAUUCUUACCUUGCUCAACAGGAGGGACGGCUACCAACAAGUCUGCAACCGUGGAAUGAAGUGUAUCGGUGCCGCAACAACAGGACAUGUCAAGCUGUAGUCGAAAUAUAUGGAGCUAUAGGUGGGCUGAAGCAAGGAAGUACUAGAACCACGUUAGUUGGAAGCAAAUUGAACAAACGCUCAACGACGUUAUUGUGCUGGUCCUAGGCUAGUACGUGCUAGAGACGCGAGCCUGGACACAAACGAAGUCACUAAGCUGCAGCAAGGAAGGAUCACAAGGAGAGGAAAAAAACAACAAAAGAAAAACCCUUCUCUUCUUUCUUUCUUUCUUUCUGUUUUUCUUUUCUUUCUUUCUUUCUUUCUUUUUUUUUCUUUUUUUUUCAAGUAGCACCGAGCUCAAAUUUUGCAACAAGAGAUAACACGCUACUUACAGCAAUUAAAUAUUUCCUUGGGAAGGGUGAUUCAGUAGCAAAGUCAAACAAGUGGCUGUUUUGCAAAUCCAGCAGAUACGCAAAUCUCCAGGGUGAUUCCGAAGUGCUCAAAAAGAAUUUGGGACCAAGGAUAGAUCCGUUGGAAAGAGGAUAAGUUCAGGUUUCCAGAUUGUAUUCAAACUCCCUAUUCGGAUUCCUUAUAAUGGAAAUAUGGUGCUUUUCUUUUCAGGAUAAAACAGGACUCCGAAUCGAAUUCUGAUUUGAAAUUGUGGGAUUUCCUUUUUGGAGAUGGAAGUAUGGACGUGGAUGAAACCUCCAUGGAUGUGGUUUGGUUAAUAGUGGUAAACAAAACAAAGGAAUUUGGAAAAUUCAAUCUGAUUUGUGGAGAGAAACAAAUAAACUCAAAUCUGUGAUAGUGACACAAACGUGACAAGAACUCGAAACUCUAAACGACUAGACGCUAAGACCAGCAACUUGACACGACGAUGCAACCGUUAAUUCAAUAAGCCCUAACUAAGCAGUAAUAGUAAAAGGCUUAAAGGGUUUUUUGGGAUUAUGGAGAACUAAGCUACUAAUUUUUUUGGCCUUUCCUGGACUAUAGGAAAUUAAAAACAGCAAAGAACUAGAAGUCUCUCACCGAUAAACCUUGCUCUGAUUACCAACUGAUAUGAACCCGCUAGGGUUGAUUCCCGAUCUCUCGAUGAGAGGCGUGGGAUAACUCGAUUGGUCAAUGGAGACGACGUUCACGGCCCGACUACAGCCUUCCAAGCUGCGCCUUAGCAACCGAUACACCACCUCCAAUGGCUGCCGCGAUCUUGUGGAGCGCGUCACCCGGCCACUAGGGCACUCGUCCUGCAAGCAAUCGAAGAACUAGCAAGAACAAGUAUAACAAGUACUGAAUUUACUAGAUGAAGAUGAAGGUUUUCAACUCAAUCUCAAUAAGGUGGGGUUCCGAAGACAGGAAGACGAGCGGCUGAUCCAGCACGCGCGCUUACAAGCAAGUAGCGAGAGCUAAACUUGAUCUAAACAAAACCCAAUCUGUUUGUGGCAGCUCUAAUCCUUAUUAAUGCCUAGGAGGACGACCAGGAGGGUGUUGGGGUCGUGCUCCAACCUUAGGACAUGUCCCUAAUGGAUCCAACUUGAUACACGGCCCAUUGGGUCAAAAUAAGGUGACGCAGCAUCAGAAAACCUAUCGGUAGUAAAUUGGUCAUUGCGACCGCCUCAGAUCAGAUAUAGACUUGAGUCCAGACCCAUAUGAAAAUAGACUUCAUAACGAAUCCGUGAAGUACUUGAACGCCCCAAUCUGUGUCCGUAUGCGACCGUGGUGACCAUCACAAGUUGGUACUGUCCUGGAGUCCGAAUCCAGCCUGCGCGAGUCCGUUUCCCUUUCGGUCUUCUCCAUGAUUGCUAACCAAAACAAGAGUGCACGCGUCUCCAUGGUCUAAAUAGGAUUGACAGGAACUCAAGAGUGAACUUACUUGAUGAUUAAGUUGACGAGCACGGGCGCGAGUUAUAGGACCAGAAACUGGUACUUGUGUAGGUGUGGAUGUAUUGUUGGUGUUGAUGUCCUCAUCACGCGCCAUGGCCCCGACAAUGACGGGAGUCAGCGAGCGCGGUCGCAGCUGUAGGACCCACGCCAUGGCCCUGCCGAAGCUGCCCUGUGCUGUGGCCUCGCCACCACCGCCGCCCCCAUGCCGUGGCCCUGCCGCCGCUGCCUCGUGCCGUGGCCCCAACACCGUCGCCGCCGAGUGCCUCGCCGCGUGAACUGGCUACCAGCGGUUCGAGCCUAGGCCAUCCACAACUCACCUUGCUGUACGAGUGAUCCAUGAGAGGGCAUGACUAAAAACUGCAAUAGAAAAACCAAGCAUUCAGUCAUAGCGCCAAACAUCAAGGAUUUUGCAGAUCUUCAGAUCCGGUCGAUCACGGGCUUCAGAAAACGACGAGUGAACUGGCUACCAGCGGUUCGAAGCUUCAAUGAGGAGGUCUCAAGAGACUAGAAGGGACGGAUUGGGAGGCAAGGAGCGGCCGGAGCAUGAUGGUGCCUCUCCAGCAAGCCGCACGCGCCACGGCGUUGCUAGCCUGAGCAUCGACCGUGGCUUGGGGUCCAGUUCUUGGGCCUCUGUAGUGAGGAGAUUGGCGGGGAGGCGACCAAGGCGAGCGCGAGCAAAGGAAGAGAGAGGAACAGGAGGGGAGAAGAGAGAAGAGAGAGGAACAUGAGGGGAGAAAAGAGAAGAGGAUGAUAUGUUUCUAGAGCUGGAGCACUGCAAUCAGUCAAAUACGUACUCUAUAUUUUUCUAGAGUUGAUGGAGUGGAGUUGCAAAAGUAUGGAGUUAGUGGAGUAGAGUUGUUUUUUUCUAGAGAAGAGUGGCACACCCCUUAAUAUUCCUCAGGCCGCCUCCUCCUAUCAUAUCGUUUGUACUCUCGCUGACUGCUCCAGCGUGAAACCACCAAACAAGCAAAGCCCCUGCCGCACCCGCGCGUGCUAGAUAGCGGUAAGCUUGCAGUGCCGCAUGCGACGUGGAAGAGUGAUGAAGAGCAUAUCCAAUCCAACGUGUGGGCCGAGGGGCUGGAACCCCCUACAAAUUUCAACUACAGAUGAAGAGGAGGAGGGAAAUAGAGCAAGAAGAGGAAGAUGAGCUCUCCUAGUUUUGGGUCUUGGAUCCGCCUCAAGGCAUUUUUGCUUCAAGUCCCGGCAAACCUGCCUAGCUGGCGUACGCAGCGCUCCUAGGCAUCCGGUUUCGGAUGAUCGGACGCCUACCCCGGCGGGGUCGCUGCCUUGCCGGCCAGCUGCCUGAGUAGGCCGCUGCCGCUCGCGGGGCAGGAGAGGAGGGGUACGGCGAGGCGCCGCGCGCCCGUCGCGUUGGGCUGCGACGCGACGGCCGACGGCGUACGGUUUGGCACGUAGGCGCUCGCGGCUUUCUCCAUGUGGUCGGGCCCGUCGCGUCGGCCAAUGCUGCGGCUGGCAACGGGACGAGACGGCUCACAUGCGCGCACAUGCACGCGCGCGCCGCUGCACCUACUUCCAGCUGCCGCGCGCUACGACGGCCGGCCCCUGCUGGACUGGCCUCGACCUAGCUAGUGUCUCAACCAUCAAUGGACUAGAUCGAAUUGAGCCGCCCGAUCGAUUCAAAACUAAUCGCGAAAUCUGUGCUAAUACAGCACGUAGUUGGACUAGUUCUUCGCGACACACACACAUGCCUCUGCUGGGAUCCUGGUAUUGACGCGUACCGGCCUCCAUCCGUUCCGUUUCGUCCGCCAGCCUAGCUUCGCACACACGUGUCAUGUGUGUACCUAAAAGUAUCAGGGUUUUGUGAUAUUAUAUAUAAUAAUUAUGAUAUAUAAUUACGCGAAAAUGCAGUGGUCCCAUUAAUUAGUAGGAUGAUUACUGCUCUGGUCGUGUCACUAUCCUAAACGUCAAAUACACGAAUUAAGAUUAAGGACGUGUUUGGUUGUUUGCCUCUCCAGCUCGCCUCGCUCGGUAAGGCAAGCCUUGCCAGCGCCAAGAGGCGGUUCUGGCUCACCCAACUUUUGACAUGGAAAAAAGCUCAAGUCCCGAGUUAGGUAGUUAGCUAACCAAACAUGAGUAUCAUACGCGCACAAAGUUUACCUUUAAUGGGAAUCAGCGAUCGUAGACAACUGACAUGAAGCAGGCAAUAUAUUGCUCCAUGUAGCAAUAUAAGACUUUUUUUUUCUAAUAUGUAUACCCAAGUUUGAAAGAACUUAUUAAUGAGAUCAAAGUGAAGGUAGUACGAUAAUCGAUGACAUCAGCUUAACCUAGCUUGCUAGCAUUAAUCGAGCUGGCACACUUGGGCCCUCUAUCUUUUCUUGCAUGCACGUCCUAGAUAACUAGCGAAUGAGGAUAAUAAGAUAAGAACAUCUUACUAUGUUGCACUUGCACCGUCUAGAACCCCAUCAAAGGUUAGUAUACAGUUAGUCUAAUUACUCCAUGCAUACAUAGGUCUCCCUAUUAGGUGAUACUAUAAUCCACCUCCACUAAACACAGUGACAAUCCAUUGACGAUUGCAGCUAUGCAUGGGUCUCAGGGAUGGACUCCUUGUUCAUGCUGGUUCCUUGGAGGACAUAGAAAGAGGAUAAUACUUAUAUCUUUGACAAGUUUCUGUUUUUUUCUCUAGUCCUAUCUCAUCAACGCAGGCAAAGCAAAGCUGAGCUCUAGAUCAAACCAGGCACCAAGGUGCUGUAGAUCAAAGCAUGCAUGUGCGAAAGAUCUAGGCCAUGAGCUCCAAACCUUCUUGUUGGGCUACUAUAGAGCUCACCAAGGUGUUUUUUGUUCGACUAGCAUUUGAAUUUUGAGUCAUUAGAUCUCUUAUCACAUCUCAUCCAAUGGCUCUCUGGUUCCUUUCUUUCACUAGCAAGUAGCAACCUUUCUUACCUACUACAUGCCUCCAACACCUAAUAAUUAGCCAUUGUGUCAUCCCUCUCACCCCACCAUGCCCUCCUUCCACCAUCUUCAUCAGCUCUUGUUUCCGAAUUCGUGACUACAACCUGCAAUUAACCACUCCUCAUGGACCAUCCUCUGCCACCUUUAUACUUGUUGGGGAAUUGGGUUAAGAUCGCAGGCCGAAGGGACCAUCCCCUCCAGAAGGCUUCUGAAAGCUCGGAGGUCUCCGGGGAUCCCUCGGACUCGGGAUCCAAAGGGUUACUGUUGGGUAGGAGUCCCGGGUGGAACACGGUGGAAACAGGAUCGCCGAUGAGGCCUCAAGGAUAACCAGAAGAGAAGGGUGGAAGGGCUUCCGGUCGAGUCAUUUGGGACUUCCCCGGAAUACUUUCGCUCCCCCGGAGGUGUUGCCCGUCCGGAAGAGACAGGUGAAAGGUGGGCCCUGGGAAGAGCGGGCGCAGGCCUUACGCAUCUCCUAAAAGGAGAAAAGGGGAGGCAUCCACAUCAGCCUUAGGUACGGAGGCCUACCGCGCCCUCCUCCCAUACGAAAGAUCCCCGUACGGGACCACCACGUUGGCCCUAGGUACAGAGAACCACCGUACCAGGGAAGGUUUUGACUUCAUUACCCCCACCAUCGCGUCCCAGAGAACCUAGUUUCCACUAGCUCCGUACCGGGGGGUAAAAGGGUCCUUUUCCCGAAAAGGCCUCGACCCCCAAGCCUAUAAAUAGAAGGGUUAUAGGCUCAAUCAAGUGACAACAUUCUAGCCACUCAGUCUCCUAGAAGCUCUUUGGACAAGUGCCUUGUUCUAGAGCCACCCUCUACUAUUUGGGUAUUUUGUAACCACUAACAGUUGGCGCCAUCCGUGGGAAGAGAGUGACUGAGAAGCCAUGUGGUGCCGCAGCGGCGGAAGGGGAAGGGAGCCACCAACCUUUUGAUAGAUCCCCUCCCCAUGACAACCAAUGACCCCUCCGAGACUACAUCUCCGGAGGGCAAGGCAUCUACCGGGGCUGAUCCGGAAAGGGUUGACCUAGGACGCGAUGAGGAGCUGGCGGGCAUCAGCAAUGAUGACCCAGAAGCUGAGGAAGACCCAAUGACCGGGGAGGAGGAGACAGGAGAUGCCUCCAGCCUCGAUGCCACUAGCUCCUGAGAGGAGUGCCUAACCUGGGAGGCUAAAGCGAAGGUGGAUGGCCUACAGGCCCAGCUGGAGUAGGCCCGGAGGGAGAGCGAGCAAAGGGAGGCAGCCAGUCGGGAAUCCAUCGACAAGGAGGCUCAGUGUGGCGGAACCACCUCGGAUUAGCUUGAUUAAACAGGGUUAAGCCGCCUAACAUGCGACACUCCUGCCUAACUCGAGCUAACACGAAGUGCCGUCGGAUUUCAUCCGAUUUAACCACUUAAACAGGAUCGAGUUUAGCAAACCCACACGAAGGUGAGUGGUUACAGAGAAAACAACAAGUCCACUGAGUUGAACAAGUUUUACCCAUUUAGUUCGGCCAUAAAAUCCAACACCAGAGUUUUACAAGAUUUCAAGAAAACAGCAGAGAAAACUAGCGGAAGACUUCGUCGGGGUCGGAUGUCCGGGCGAGGCCAGCCAGAACAUCACUGAGUCCUCUCUUCGCCGUCCGAGGAGGGGUCCCACUCGACCGUCCAGCCUGGCGGGAGCUGGGGCGGCCAAGCACCAACCAGAGAGGGGUCGGAAGCAGCAACUUCACCUGAAAAACAGGAGCCACAACAAGGCUGAGCUACUAAGCUCAACAAGACUUAACCGAUAGGAGUAAGGGCUACUCCUCCUUCUAGACAUGCAAGGCUUCUUGGCUGAGGGGUUUGUUUGCCAAAAGCACUAAGUAUCCCUAUUUCAGUUUUUAGCUCAGGUUCUAUGUUCAUUUACCAGUCUAGGUUGUGCAACCUAUUCUAAGCAUUCAUAGAACCAAACAAGAGGUGUAGAUAUAACAACAACAUUGCCAUCAUCAGAUUCCUCACUUACUCAGGGUGACAUAGCGAUCAAGCAAUCUCAAACUGUGAGAGGCAGACGAAUCGAUUAGAGUUCUUUAACCAUGCAUGGUGAACCUAGCCUCACGACAUCCGCGCACCCGGAGGUCGCUUCCUGUGUCGGCCUUCCCCAUCAAUCCCCUAACCCGUGUCGGGCCCAUUUCCUUUGGUGCAAGGUUCCACAGACCCGGCCUCUGCCGUCCUGUGACCACGCAUUGCCACCACGUGCGACAACCCGCAGGGGAAACUCCGUUCCAAGAACAAUGGGGCGACCGCUCACGUCUAGGUUCAAUCCGGUACUAGGCUUCCUCAUCCCAUACUAAGUAUGAGGCUAGUACUUUCAAACACUCGAUCACGAACACCACCACUGUCGGGCCUUAGCAAGAUUUCAUAGACAGACGGGGCGACCAUCCGACCACCAAAGAGUUACCCAAAACCCUGCCCCGUCCAUCGUCCUUAUAGUUAUAACAGGAGAGUAAACAUGCAACUCCUAUAACUCGCGAGUGACAGGAAAUCACUCGGCUUUUACCGUUUUUCUAGUUAAGCAAGGCAACUACUCGGUCCAACAGCUAGUGCUCGGAUCAUGGGUCACUGAGUCAUGCAUCUAGGGUUUCACACAACUCCUAUACGUAAAUGCACAAGCAUGUUACAGAAGGCAUGCGCAAGUCUGGUAAAACAUAUAGGACUUUCAUGCAACCGGGGCUUGCCUUCAAGCAAGGAGGACAGAAACUGCUCGACUUCGGGGGCGACUUCGGCUUCGGAGGGCAGGAGCUCGGCUACAGCUUCUUCUUCUGGCGCCGGGUGAAGCUCGUAGAAACCGUCGGCGAGGUGCAGCUCUACACGAAUGCAAUGCAAGGGUUAGCUUAGACGGUUACUUCAACAGCAACACUGGCUCACCUGAGCCCAGAAACUUGCGACAAAGAGCAGGAGGUUAUGGUGGUUCGAGAGAGCUGAUGGUGAUCAAGAGGUAAAUGCAGGAAAGGAAAUAGUGGUCUGAUCCUCGAACUAGAGGAUGUGAUAACUGGGAUCCUUAGACGCAAGCGCGGAAGGGUUCCCAAGUUUUACACAUACACCCUCGAGUUGAAGAAAAAGAUCACAGCCAAGCCCUCGGGCGAGGCGGAUAAGGGUCGGCAGAACAGACAGGGUCGGUCGAGACGGAACUGGGGUCGGGCGGAUAGGAGGGGUCGGGCGAGGCGGACUGGGGUCGGCAACUCACCUUCUUCCUGAAAGGAAAGCUUGGGGUCGGGAAGAAGCGGUCUUGGGCGGAGGGACUAAAGCUUCGAGCAAGGGCUACGAUGGGCAAGUUCCGGCGGCGGCGCUGCUUCUUGCGGAUCACAAGAGAGCUCUUAUGCAGCACGGAGGAGCAAGCUGCUGGGUGACUUGGAGGAAACUGAGAGGGAACUGGGAGAAGAACUUCUUAAGAGCUGGGUGGGUGGCGCUAGGAGCUGUGAGCAGGGAGCUAGAGAAAGCUGAAGGUAAUAAAGGCAGAGGGAACUUCGGCAACGAGGGCAUUCCUUUUAUAGCUGCUGGGGCAGAGGAACGGAAACGGCGCGGAGAGAGAAGGGGAGCGGCGCGAAGGCCGGGGAGAAGCAAUGGAGUGCUCUGCCGGGGCGGCGAUUGAGCAAAGAGGGCGGUGGUGCAGAACUCCGGGGGUGACGCCAGCGAUCAUUGUGUUCUGCCGUCAGGGCGGCGUAGGGGCGGGUAGACUGGUGGUUGAGAUUUGGCGGAAAGCGGGCGUCGUCGUGUAGAAGAGGUGAUAGAAGCGACCGGUUAAACGGCGCUAGAAUCGAGGACGCAUAGCUGAGAAGACAGGCGGACGCGGGCGCGGGGGAGAGCGCGGAACAACAGAUUGUCAGGCGGCGUCUGACAGAGCGGGGAAAGGAACUGUCGCGGCCGUGGUCGGGGUUGGCGGUGAAGGAAUCGUCGUGUAGCGGCGACCGGGCGGCGCAACUGUGGCUGAAGGGACGGAAAAGACGGGCGACAUCGGGCUCUGGGGCCGGGAUCUGGUGGCGUGAUGAUGGGGCGAGAGACGAGGUUCUGCAGAAAGGGGUGCAGAGGGCUUCCGCUGCUAUUGGGGAAAGAGGGUGCGGGAACCCACUCUGUUGCUUGCCAGAGACAAAACUGAGCGACGGCGUCGGAGAAGACGAGCCACGCGGCAGGAAGACUCUGAGGCGGCCAUGCAACUCGAGUGCGGCUGUCGCGGAGGAUCUGGAAAAGAUCUCACGGGUCCACCGGUGGAUAGAUCGGACGGAUGAGGAAGAUCCGCAGAAUCCGACGGUGGGCUGAGCUCGCCGGGGUCGGGAGAGGAGCGAAGAAGGAAGGGGUCCGAUCUCAGGGGUCGAGACCGGCGGAAAACUGGGCACUUAGGUGCGGUCAAGCAAAACAGCUGACUAAGCCUAAGGGCUGAGAUCAAGACUAACUGGAAAGGCUUAGGGGUCGGUCGUUACAGCCUACCCCUCUUAAAAAGAAUCUCGUCCCGAGAUUCAGAGAUCAAGGGGGUGUGCUGUUCUUACCUCCUUGAUGGGACAGAAAACCUGGGAACUGCUUGUUCAGAUAUUCGUCCGUUUCCCAUGUUGCUUCAUCCUCUGUGUGGUUUCUCCAAAGGAUCUUGUACAUCUUUACCACUUGACGUCGGGUGUGCCUUUCCUUUUGGUCAAGAACUCAAUCUGGGUACUCGGCGUAGGUUAGGUCGGGCUCUACCUGAAGCUGUUCUUGCUCUAUGAUCUCUGUUGGAACUCGGACACAUUUGUUCAGUUGAGACACAUGAAAAACAUCAUGUAUGGCAGACAACUGUUCUGGGAGUUGGAUCCGGUAAGCAACGGGUCCACAUAUCUCCACAAUCUCAUAAGGGCCAACAUAGCGGGGUGCUAACUUGCCUUUUAUUCCAAACCGCUGCACUCCUUUGGUCGGGGAUACUCGAAGGUACACAUGAUCACCAAGGUCGAACUGCAGGGGUCUUCUGCGCUGGUCGGAGUAACUCUUUUGUCGAGAUUGGGCAGCCUUGAGAUUCGCUUGAAUCACCUUCACUUGCUCUUCGGCUUCUGCCACUAAGUCAGGGCCAUAGACCUGUCUUUCUCCUGGUUGGGACCAGUUCAAGGGUGUCCGACAUCUCCGGCCGUACAGGGCCUCAAACGGUGCCAUCUUCAAACUGGCCUGAUAGCUGUUAUUGUAGGAGAACUCUGCUAAGGGCAGACACUUGUCCCAGUUUUUAUCGUAGUGGAUAACACAGGCUCUUAACAUGUCUUCAAGAAUCUGGUUGACUCUCUCGGUUUGGCCAUCAGUUUGAGGAUGAUACGUUGAGCUUCGGAUGAGCUUGGUGCCCAUAGAUGCUUGUAGUUGCUCCAAAAAACGGGCCACAAACUGAACUCCUCGAUCGGAGACGAUGGUCUUGGGUACACCAUGUAGGGAAACUAUACGGUCGAGGUACAACUCUGCAUAUUGCUUGACUGUGUAGGUGGUGCGAACAGGAAGGAAAUGUGCCGUCUUGGUCAGACGGUCCACUAUAACCCAGAUGGAAUCAUACCGUUGAGUUGUAAGGGGUAAUCCAACUAUGAAGUCCAUGCUGAUGUCUUCCCAUUUCCAAGAGGGAAUAGGUAGCGGCUGCAAGGUUCCUGCUACCUUCAAAUGACUGGCCUUGACACGUUGACAGGUGUCACAUUCUGAAACAUAACGAGCUAUCUCUAGUUUCAUUCCACUCCACCAAAAGGUUUGACGAAGAUCAUGGUACGUCUUAUUGCUGCCAGGAUGGAUCGAGAACUUGGAGAGAUGAGCUUCGUCUAGGAUUUGCUUCCUUAACUCGGGGUCGGCGGGCACUACUAGUCGGUUUCCACAGUACACACUUCCCGUUUCGUCCUGACGGAAUUGCUUAUAUCCUUCAUCCUUUACUGAGAUCUUACUGGUGAUCCGUUUUAUUUCUUCAUCCUUAGCUUGUGCUGACCGAAUUUGGUCCUCCAAAACUGAGUCAAGGAUGAUGUGACCAAGGGUUCCGUGAGGGAUAAUCUCCAAACUUAGUUUUCCCAUCUCGUAACACAGGGUGUUGGUGAAGGCUGUUGACAACAAGCAGUUGCAAUGGGGUUUGCGGCUGAGGGCAUCGGCUACCACAUUGGCCUUGCCAAGAUGAUAGUGCACUUCCAACUCAUAAUCCUUUAUCAACUCCAGCCAUCUUCUCUGACGCAUGUUGAGGUCGGCUUGAGUGAAGAUGUACUUGAGGCUCUUGUGGUCGGUGUAGAUGUUGCAGUGAGCUCCCAUUAGGUAGUGCCUCCAUAUCUUCAAGGCAUGUAUCACUGCUGCUAACUCAAGGUCAUGUGUCGGGUAGCUUAGCUCAUGAGGUCGUGUUGGUGCUAGAAAUCGGUCAACCGAAUCCAAGCGACAAACACACGACCCGGGAGAAUCUGCUUAGCUCCUGUUCGGGUGAAUGCCCUGGUGCGGUUCGCGCGGCGUGCCAGCCAAUCUGACCUGUUGAUUGGCAAGGAAGAACACGUGUCAGGUCCAGAAAUUACGAUCGGCUAAGUUUCCGAUCGAGAGAGUUUAUCGGCGAAUCGGCCGAUUUACUGUAGUAAUGAAAUCGGCUAUAAGACAGCCUGAUCUCUAUAGCCUUGUAGACAAGAAAUUGCUAAAGUGAUCGGUACAAAGCUUAUGAUAACAACACUAGGAACAGAUCUAAUCGGCAAUAGAUGAAUCUAACGAUAGGAAAUAAAGAAAGCCGAUACUACCGAUUCCUAGCUGGAUAACUGGUGAUAAAAACUAGAAAAACAGGUAAAACCUAUGAAUCUAGCAAAUAUCGAUAACUAGUGAAUAAAUCUAAACGAAACAACAGCGAUACGCCCGGAGUUAAAGCUUAGAUAUUACUCGAUAAACGGAACUUACAGAAUCGGCCGGAGAUCAAGAUGAUGCAGCCCUGCCAACCCGCACGAACUCGUGGAAAAGAGAAAAGUAGUAGCGAAGUCGCUUGAAAGUAAGUACGAGGAAAAAAGUAGCUUGUUGUAUUGAUUGGUUGAUGAUUACAGAUUUACAAAGGUAGCUAUUUAUAGCCCCGUACAGAUAACUUCUUAACCGACUAGAAUUCUAUCCCUAACUUAAACAGAAAACGAAUAUCUACAAGCACAAUUCGUGCUAAGUUGGUUACUCUACGCCUCGUGGGCUGACUUCCACCUCAUCCUUCCAUCCCUUUCCGAGCCCAUACAGGCCCAAUUAGCCCAUCCCCCAAAUCGGCCGAUUCCUAAUCGGCAAAAGAUUACCGAUUGGGACUCUGGUAUAUUCGACCCAGAGUGAGACAGAAGUCACCGGCCGAUCUCACACUGUAGCACCAUUUGGCCGAUUCCCAACUGUGCUUCUCCGAUUCCCCUUUUUCUUGGCGCCGAUUCUACUAGUGACGAAAUCUGGCGUCAACAGGUCGUAACGCACGUGAGGCAUAGGCAAUGACUCGGCUGUCUUGCAUAAGAACACAUCCGAGUCCAGUGCCAGAGGCGUCACAGUAUACGUCAUACGGCCUUGAGAGGUCGGGCUGAGCCAAAACCGGGGCGGUGGUCAGCAAGUGCUUCAGGGUCUUGAAAGCUUCUUCACACUUGGUGUCCCACACAAACUUGACCUCUUUCUUCAGCAACUCGGUCAUCGGCUUAGCUAUCUUGGAGAAAUCCGGUAUAAAACGCCGAUAGUAACCUGCCAGUCCAAGGAAACUCCUGAUCUGGUGUACUGAGGCAGGAGACUUCCAUUCCAUGACUUCUUGCACCUUACUGGGAUCCACGGCGAUACCGUCCUUGGAGAUAGUGUGUCCCAAAAACUUGACACUAUCUAACCAAAACUCACACUUGGAGAACUUUGCAUAAAGCUGGUGAUCUCUCAGUCGUUGGAGAACUAUAUGAAGAUGGUGGGCAUGCUCUUCCUCGUCCCUCGAGUACACUAGGAUAUCAUCAAUGAACACCACUACAAACUUAUCCAGCUCGGGCAUAAACACCGAGUUCAUAAGGUACAUGAAAUAAGCGGGUGCAUUGGUGAGUCCAAAGGACAUGACUAGGUACUCGUACAGUCCGUAUCUGGUAGAGAAAGCUGUCUUGGGUAUGUCGCAAGGUCGAAUCUUUAUUUGGUGAUAACCAGAACGAAGAUCGAUCUUGGAGAACACUUUUGCUCCGGCUAACUGAUCGAACAAGACAUCAAUGCGCGGCAGUGGGUACUUGUUCUUGACUGUUACCGCAUUGAGGGGUCGGUAAUCCACACACAUCCGUAAACUGCCGUCUUUCUUCUUCACAAAUAGGGCGGGGCAACCCCAAGAUGAUGUACUGGGUCGAAUGAAACCUUUUUCCAACAGAUCAUGCAACUGGGUCUUCAACACGGCUAACUCGGCGGGUGGCAUCCGAUAGGGUCUCUUAGAUAUCGGGGCUGUGUCAGGAAUCAGCUCUAUGGAAAACUCCACUUCUCUGUCAGGUGGCAUACCCGGCAAAUCUUCUGGAAACACAUCAGGGUACUCACAGAUAAUAGGGAGGUCUUCUAAAUGGGCUCCCAAGAGAGGGUAGUCACAAGGAGUUGAGGACUCAGGAUGGGUCAAAGAUAGGGUAGAACGGCCAUGAGAGGGUGAGCUGAUGUAAAGAGAUCGGGCUGGUGUGUCUAAAACAACAUGAUGUCGGGCCAUCCAAUCCAUACCAAGGAUGACAUCUAUGCCUUCUAGGUCAAGGAUGAUAAGGUUUUCCUUGAAGAGGAUGGGGCCUAGCUGGAGAGGCACAAGAAUAACGACCUGAUCCGACGUUAUCCUUCCUCCAGGAGUGGCGAUCACAUAGGAUUCCUUAGUGUGACCGACAUUUAGCCCACAUCUUUCCCUUGCCUUACUCCCGAUAAAGCUAUGAGAGGCUCCCGAAUCAAACAACACAACAACAGCUUGAUUUAAAACAAGGAAAGUACCCGUCAUUACUGGCGCACCUUCGGGGAGUUCGGUCAAGCUGGUGUAGUUGAGUCGGCCUUGUCGGACUUGCACCUUGGGCCUUCUUCCUCUGGCUGCCAUGGGGUUCUGACCUUGCUGCUGAUUCAUGUUUCUGGGGCAGUCCUUUGCAAAAUGUCCUUCAUUGCCGCAGGUAAAACAACGAUUGCUGGCGGUCGGGCGAAGUGGCGUUGGCAGGGUCGGCCGGGGCACUUGCGGUUGGAAGCCUGGAAAACGAGGCGUUGUUGCCGGCGGGGGUCGGGCGAUCCAUUUCCCUGACUGCUGGGGUCGGCCAGGGGUUUGUGGAGGAACCAUCCGGAACCUUCGAGUCGGUGGACUCGGAAAUGCCACAAAGGCCUUCCUCUUCUGGUCGGCCUUGAGAGCUUGCAUGCAGUCCUCCUGAGAGAUGGCCAGGUUGACCAACUCGUUGUAGGUGUCCAGCCUAAUGGGGUUCAACCUUUCCCUGAGCUCCAAGCUCAGUCCUCGGCGGAAUCUGUCCCGCUUCUUCUCGUCUGUGUCCGCAUGAUAGCCAGCAUAACGGCAUAGGUCAUUGAAAGCUUGGGCGUAAGGCAGCACAUCCCGAGUUCCUUGGGUGAGGGCCAGAAACUCGUUGAGCUUACGCUUCAGGAGACCUUCGGGAAUGUGAUGCGCUUUGAACGCCGUCUUGAACUCGUUCCAGCUGACCUCGUGGCCAGCCGGCAGCAUGGCAUGGUAGUGGUCCCACCAAAGCCGUGCGGAUCCACGCAGCUGCUGAGCUGCGAACCGUGCCUUGUUGUGGUCGGGGCAUGGAGUGGUGAGGAGCUCGAACUUGGAUUCGAUCGUGCGAACCCAUGCAUCAGCAUCGAGCGGUUCUUGUGUCUUUUGGAACAGCGGGGGCUGUGUCCCCAGAAAGUCCUCAUAUCGCGCGAUAUGCGGCUGCUGCUGUGCUCUUCCACCCUGUGGCUGUUGCUGUUGUCCUUGUACCAGAUGCCUUAGCAGCUCAGUUUGAGUUGCUAGGAUUGCCUCCAAUGGCGAUGGGGGCGGGGGCGGGGGAAGAUCCUGUCGCUGAUCACUACCACUGGGUCCAGAACUAGACCUAGUGCGGUGCGCCAUCUGCAAGAGUUAACGCCCCAUUAAUUUCCUAACCUUAGGUGUACUCCAACAAAUGGAACGUAUGAAUUAAAUCCUUUAAUGCGACUCUUGCCAAUGGUGCAUCACACGUCCUCAUAGAGGAAGCACAUUCCUCCCAUUCUCGGCAUAGGCAACCUCUAUUUGACCUGGUACUCCACUUCAGGCAACACAUGCCGCAUACAGACUCCCGUGAUCGGGUCCACUCAGACCAAGGGGUCGGACACGGUCCGUACUUGAAAAGGGUCGGACGAGGCGGAGACUGCCUCAGGGGUCGGCGCACUCUAGCUCGCAAACUAGGGUCGACCAACUGAACAGGCUCCCCGAAAACAGCAUAGGGUUACGGCGCAACUUACUCAACCCUAUCAUUCACACCAUACGAAGAGGAGAAAACUAUGCACCGGGGUUAACUUUAUACACAACGACGUUUCAACACAGGGAGUACUCAACUCAAGGCUAACCUAUUACAGCUUUUCCAAAAUCUAGGCUGCCGAGGAGUACAACAAAAAGAAAGAAGGUUCCAUGAGAACCCUUAAGCUACCAAUGGACACUAUGAGUCGAAGAAGGGGCGCCAUCUUCUUCUAUGUCCAUGCUGGACGCUCCCUCAUCUUCCUCAGGGUCCUCCUGAGCUUCGAGCUGCAUGUUGAGGGCAUGCAUAUCCUCGAGCUCGGCUUGGUGCUCCUCCAGGUGGGCAUUGGCGACUGCUAGCUCCAUUUCCAUCUCCAUCUUUUCCUCCGAGAGCUCUAUCAUGCCGUCCACGAGGUCGGCGACUUCUCCUUCUAGCUCGGAGAUCCGAUCUUGCAUAUCGUGGAUCUGGAUACCACGCUGGAUCAGCUGGUAGGUUUGACCUACCAUGUCUCUUCUUGCUGCCUGGAGGUGACCGUGGGUAUCUGCUGCCGUCCAGGCGAAGAGGGUCAUGGCUCUUCCCUGAAGCUCUAUCAACCUGUAGAGGGCGGCCAUGCACCGGAUGUUGGUGGAGAUGGUGACCAUGGCGCAGGUGGUGGCCAGCACCUCGAUGUUUCUGACGCGGUCAAGCCAGGCCGGGUCCAGCCGGUUCCUGACGGGAAAGAGACCGAUCGGGUCUAACGUGAUCUCCACGGGGUGCAGCUGACAGAACUGGGUGAGCAACUGAAGGGCGGCGGAUUCCCAUGUAUCUUCCGGAGAAAGACCAUAGGCUAUUAUGCCAAGAGAGGGCCAGUCGGGCCGUGCAAGGGGAGGUGGUACCAACGCUUGCACCUGGCACGUCUGAAUGCCCUGUUCCAUAUAUAACCGCCCGGCAUACAAGGGCGGGGACUGAUACCCAAACCACUUCAGCGUAUCCCACAGAAUCGCGGGAAACCCCUCGAAAUGCAGGCACGUUGAUUGGAAGGUACCGUCCACUCCAAAAACAACAUGUCCAGGGACAGCCAUCUGGAACCAAGAAAACCGAAACCACGUGAGAUAACUCCAAGGAUCAGGGGUCGGAUAGAAAAGCAGACGGGUUUCACCGAGAGCAACUAAGAGAAACUAGAAAUCCUUAGAUCAAAAGAACUCUUUCGGACAGGGUUGCUGCUGAGAAAAGGGACCGUACAACCUUUUAGAUAUACCGCAUGCACGACCUACCUUACUCUCAACCAAAAACAACUGCCCAACUUUGGGUCUUACGCGGUCAGUGCCGGUGACAAGGCAACAAUACGUCUCUCCCUAUAAUAACUAGUCGGUUCUAGCAACGUCUCUUAACGAGCGCGGUUAGCAACCUGCAGAAAACACCACACACGAACCUUUCGUGCCAGCACCCACGAAAGCGUUCCCAAACAUUACCGCUCACUAUAGGAACGGCACCCAUGCGUUUAAGGCUGCAUGGACAGCACUCAACCGUGGAAAUAGGCUCCCUUUGAAUGGAUCCGUAUAACCCUUCGCAUACUCGUGAUGCAGAAUCGGCACACGUGUGACAAACGUGGCGAAACAACCGUGCUGAUAGGUUCGUUGGAAUCGAACCGUAUCAACCUUCGUAUGGAACACAUACGGAACCUGCGCACGUGUAAUAGACGUGGGCGAAAGCAACCGCGAAGAUAGGGUCCCUUGAAUGGAGCUCCCUAUCAACCCUCGCAUGCUCGCGAUGCGGAACUCGGCACACGUAUGAUAGACGUGGCGAAGUGCUGGAGGAGUUAGCAAAAUAACCAAGUACUUAUUAGUCACCUGAAACCACCCCAAAAUCCCCUAGGGCCUCUCGCACUAAGUCAUCCCUAACGAUCGUACGAGAUUUUCAAAAGUUUCUUGCAGCUUUUAUCCUUUCAAAGAAGUGUUUAGGGCUCAUUGGGUUCUCUGAAAUGCUAAACACGGCUCUGAUACCAGCUGUGGCGGAACCACCUCAGAUUAGCUUGAUUAAACAGGGUUAAGCGGCCUAACAUGCGACACUCCUGCCUAACUCGAGCUAACACGAAGUGCCGUCGGAUUUCAUCCGAUUUAACCACUUAAACAGGAUCGAGUUUAGCAAACCCACACGAAGGUGAGUGGUUACAGAGAAAACAACAAGUCCACUGAGUUGAACAAGUUUUACCCAUUUAGUUCGGCCAUAAAAUCCAACACCAGAGUUUUACAAGAUUUCAAGAAAACAGCAGAGAAAACUAGCGGAAGACUUCGUCGGGGUCGGAUGUCCGGGCGAGGCCAGCCAGAACAUCACUGAGUCCUCUCUUCGCCGUCCGAGGAGGGGUCCCACUCGACCGUCCAGCCUGGCGGGAGCUGGGGCGGCCAAGCACCAACCAGAGAGGGGUCGGAAGCAGCAACUUCACCUGAAAAACAGGAGCCACAACAAGGCUGAGCUACUAAGCUCAACAAGACUUAACCGAUAGGAGUAAGGGCUACUCCUCCUUCUAGACAUGCAAGGCUUCUUGGCUGAGGGGUUUGUUUGCCAAAAGCACUAAGUAUCCCUAUUUCAGUUUUUAGCUUAGGUUCUAUGUUCAUUUACCAGUCUAGGUUGUGCAACCUAUUCUAAGCAUUCAUAGAACCAAACAAGAGGUGUAGAUAUAACAACAACAUUGCCAUCAUCAGAUUCCUCACUUACUCAGGGUGACAUAGCGAUCAAGCAAUCUCAAACUGUGAGAGGCAGACGAAUCGAUUAGAGUUCUUUAACCAUGCAUGGUGAACCUAGCCUCACGACAUCCGCGCACCCGGAGGUCGCUUCCUGUGUCGGCCUUCCCCAUCAAUCCCCUAACCCGUGUCGGGCCCAUUUCCUUUGGUGCAAGGUUCCACAGACCCGGCCUCUGCCGUCCUGUGACCACGCAUUGCCACCACGUGCGACAACCCGCAGGGGAAACUCCGUUCCAAGAACAAUGGGGCGACCGCUCACGUCUAGGUUCAAUCCGGUACUAGGCUUCCUCAUCCCAUACUAAGUAUGAGGCUAGUACUUUCAAACACUCGAUCACGAACACCACCACUGUCGGGCCUUAGCAAGAUUUCAUAGACAGACGGGGCGACCAUCCGACCACCAAAGAGUUACCCAAAACCCUGCCCCGUCCAUCGUCCUUAUAGUUAUAACAGGAGAGUAAACAUGCAACUCCUAUAACUCGCGAGUGACAGGAAAUCACUCGGCUUUUACCGUUUUUCUAGUUAAGCAAGGCAACUACUCGGUCCAACAGCUAGUGCUCGGAUCAUGGGUCACUGAGUCAUGCAUCUAGGGUUUCACACAACUCCUAUACGUAAAUGCACAAGCAUGUUACAGAAGGCAUGCGCAAGUCUGGUAAAACAUAUAGGACUUUCAUGCAACCGGGGCUUGCCUUCAAGCAAGGAGGACGGAAACUGCUCGACUUCGGGGGCGACUUCGGCUUCGGAGGGCAGGAGCUCGGCUACAGCUUCUUCUUCUGGCGCCGGGUGAAGCUCGUAGAAACCGUCGGCGAGGUGCAGCUCUACACGAAUGCAAUGCAAGGGUUAGCUUAGACGGUUACUUCAACAGCAACACUAGCUCACCUGAGCCCAGAAACUUGCGACAAAGAGCAGGAGGUUAUGGUGCUUCGAGAGAGCUGAUGGUGAUCAAGAGGUAAAUGCAGGAAAGGAAAUAGUGGUCUGAUCCUCGAACUAGAGGAUGUGAUAACUGGGAUCCUUAGACGCAAGCGCGGAAGGGUUCCCAAGUUUUACACAUACACCCUCGAGUUGAAGAAAAAGAUCACAGCCAAGCCCUCGGGCGAGGCGGAUAAGGGUCGGCGGAACAGACAGGGUCGGUCGAGACGGAACUGGGGUCGGGCGGAUAGGAGGGGUCGGGCGAGGCGGACUGGGGUGGGCAACUCACCUUCUUCCUGAAAGGAAAGCUUGGGGUCGGGAAGAAGCGGUCUUGGGCGGAGGACUAAAGCUUCGAGCAAGGGCUACGAUGGGCAAGUUCCGGCGGCGGCGCUGCUUCUUGCGGAUCACAAGAGAGCUCUUAUGCAGCACGGAGGAGCAAGCUGCUGGGUGACUUGGAGGAAACUGAGAGGGAACUGGGAGAAGAACUUCUUAAGAGCUAGGUGGGUGGCGCUAGGAGCUGUGAGCAGGGAGCUAGAGAAAGCUGAAGGUAAUAAAGGCGGAGGGAACUUCGGCGACGAGGGCAUUCCUUUUAUAGCUGCUGGGGCAGAGGAACGGAAACGGCGCGGAGAGAGAAGGGGAGCGGCGCGAAGGCCGGGGAGAAGCAAUGGAGUGCUCUGCCGGGGCGGCGAUUGAGCAAAGAGGGCGGUGGUGCAGAACUCCGGGGGUGACGCCAGUGAUCAUUGCGUUCUGCCGUCAGGGCGGCGUAGGGGCGGGUAGACUGGUGGUUGAGAUUUGGCGGAAAGCGGGCGUCGUCGUGCAGAAGAGGUGAUAGAAGCGACCGGUUAAACGGCGCUAGAAUCGAGGACGCACAGGUGAGAAGACAGGCGGACGCGGGCGCGGGGGAGAGCGCGGAACAACAGAUUGUCGGGCGGCGUCUGACAGAGCGGGGAAAGGAACUGUCGCGGCCGUGGUCGGGGUUGGCGGUGAAGGAAUCGUCGUGUAGCGGCGACCGGGCGGCGCAACUGUGGCUGAAGGGAUGGAAAAGACGGGCGACAUCGGGCUCUGGGGCCGGGAUCUGGUGGCGUGAUGAUGGGUGCGGGAGACGAGGUUCUGCAGAAAGGGGUGCAGAGGGCUUCCGCUGCUAUUGGGGAAAGGGGGUGCGGGAACCCACUCUGUUGCUUGCCAGAGACAAAACUGAGCGACGGCGUCGGAGAAGACGAGCCACGCGGCAGGAAGACUCUGAGGCGGCCAUGCAACUCGAGUGCGGCUGUCGCGGAGGAUCUGGAAAAGAUCUCACGGGUCCACCGGUGGAUAGAUCGGACGGGUGAGGAAGAUCCGCAGAAUCCGACGGUGGGCUGAGCUCGCCGGGGUCGGGAGAGGAGCGAAGCAGGAAGGGGUCGGAUCUCAGGGGUCGGGACCGGCGGAAAACUGGGCACUUAGGUGCGGUCAAGCAAAACAGCUGACUAAGCCUAAGGGCUGAGAUCAAGACUAACUGGAAAGGCUUAGGGGUCGGUCGUUACACUCGGACCAAGGAGGAGGAAUACCUAUGCCGGAAAGCCGACGCCAUGCAGCAGGCUAGGGAGCUCUGGAAGGACCUGGAAGCCCUCUAGUCGGCCAAGGCUCAUCGGGACACCUUGGGGAAAGGGAGUGUGGGCAAGCCAAAACGUCCCCCAGCCGGGUCAUGUCCGAUAGCCAUGCGUGAAGGAGCACCCUCUAUGACAACAAGUCCCCCUGUCCCCCGGCCUCCAGUCCAUCAGCUGGCCGCGAGGAUUCAAAAUGUCGUAGAUCGCCCCUUACGAUGGGAAGACUAAUCCCAAGGCCUUCAUUUUGAGUUUCAAAGUCACCAUUCGGUCUGUUGGAGGUGAUGAGGCCAUCAUGCGAAGAGCUUUGUGAUGCCAUGAUGGGCAUCACCCGCACCUGGUACACUACCCUUGAAGCCGGGAAGAUCUUCUCCUAGGAGCAGCUAUGGGAGGUGAUGCUAGAGAACUUCCAAGGAAACUACGAUGACCCCAUAACUUCAGGACACCUCUUCGCCGUCAAGCAAGGAGGGACAGAGAUGCUUAGAAGCUUCGUCAAGUGCUUCAUCAACGUGAAGUGCCAAGCAAGUGGUCUAAGCAAAAGAACCAUCAUUUAUGCUGCCCAGAAGGGUCUACACCAUGGCUCCCUUCGGUCACGCCUCUCCCGGCGUCCUCCUCAGACCGUGUAUGAACUCAUGCGCAAGAUGGAGGAGUACACGCAUGUGGAAGCUGAUGAGCUCCGCGAGGCCCAAUGGAAGAUCCUCCCGGAAUCCCAACCUACGAGGCAGGAGAGAAGGCAUCACGACUCCCUUCCGGAGCAUCCCUAGGAGAGGGACGACCAGCGCAAGUAGCAAGACCAUGCAUGUCGCCCCUACCGGGAGGUCUAAACAGUGGAGACCUCCCGAGGAGGGAGGAACCCCGAGGGGACCGGAAGAGGGAGAAGACCUCUGAUGCCCGGAAGCCCUCCUCCAGAUCUCAAAACACCAAGCCUCGAGUGAGUCGAGCUAGACUCGUUACGGGAUUCGUCAAAGCCAUACUGCAUCAUCCACGAGCACUUGGGAGGGCACACUACACGAGAGUGCCUCUCCAUCGAUGCCUGCAAGGCAGAAGUGGCAGCCUCCGCCCGGAAGACCUCCACCACAGGGAGGGCCGUCAUGCACACUGCCCCACCCCCACUCAUGGGUUGGGUCAACGCGCCUCCGCCACCGAUACCGCACCCCGCCCAUCAGUGGCCGCCCGCGGCGGUGUACAGAAUGCCACCUCUGUCUCCACCACCACCAAGGCAGCCACAGGCCCCUCCGCCGGCCCCAAAUUAGGAGGCGCCUGCCCGGGAUGUGCAGUAUGUAGUGGGGACUCAUCGCAUGGUCCUUCCCAUCUCUGGGGAUUCAUACAGCCCCUGGAGUCCAAGCGCCAGUGGCACGAGUACGUACGGGAGGUCCAGCACGUGACCUCACACCCGCAGGCCCUGCUCCCCCACUACGCCACCGUCCUGAUCACCUUCUGAGCGGAGGACUACAACAUUCCCUUCUACCCCCACACUGAUGCCUUUGCCAUCUCAGCCAACGUUGUUGGGCUCUCCCACACCCAGCUUACUCAGGUUGGAACGCCUCUGCAUGGUUUUGGAGGGCAAGUAGUCGAAGCCCUAGGCCAAAUCCAACUGCCAGUGUCCUUCGGCCUUGGUGAAUAUGCCCACACGGAGGACAUCAUCUUCGACGUGGUGGAUGUGCCCUACCAGUACAACACCAUAUUUGGGAGACGCCUCCUCAACACCUUUUAUGCCAUCCCUCAUCACAACUUCCUGUGCAUGAAAAUGCCAGGGUUGAAAGGAAUCAUCAAGGUGCUAGGCGAUCAGAAGCUGCAAGACUCAUCGAAAUCAGAUGCACCCUAAGAGGAUGGUGCAACUGGCAGCCAACCUCUCGAAUGAAAUGGAAGUAGCCCUCCUUAAUUUCCUCCGGGAAAAUGAGGACGUCUUCGCUUAGUCCCUCUCUAAUCUCCAAGGGAUCGACCGAGACUUGAUCCAGCACCACCUGAACGUUGACCCCAGAAAGAAGCCCUCCAAAUAGAAGGUGCUAAAGAUGUCGACGGAAAGGAAGGAGGUGGCCUAUGCGGAGGUGACCAAGCUGCUCGACGCAAAUGUGAUUCGGGAAGUCAUUUACACGGAAUGGCUCGCCAACCCGAUCCUAGUGAAGAAGAACAAUGGGAAGUGGAGAAUGUGUGUGGACUUCACCGAUCUCAACAAGAUUUGCCCAAAGGAUGAUUUCCCUCUCUCCCGCAUUGAUCAAAUCGUGGACUCCACUUCUGAGAGUGAGCGCCUCAGCUUCCUACAUGCCUACUCCUGGUAUCACCAAGUCUGGAAGGCGGAAGAUGAUGAGCCCGGACCAAUUUCAUCACUCCAUUCGGAACAUACUGCUUCGUGCAGAUGCCCUUCGGCCUCAGGAACGCCGAGGUGACGUUCACACGACUAGUCUAGCUAGUUUUUGAUGCCCAAGUCGGAAGAAACCUGGAGGCUUACAUUGAUGACAUUUUCAACAAAAGCAGGAAUGAGCAGGACCACCUCUCUGACUUGUGGGAAACUUUCACGAAUCUACGAAGAACCUGACUACAUCUCAACCCCAAAAAAAUGCAUGUUCGGGGUAUUCUCCGGGAAGCUACUAGGUUACUUUGUCUCCUAGAGAGGAAUCGAAGCUAACCCCGACAAGAUCCGUGUCAUCCGGGAGAUGGAACCCCCGAGAAACGUGCGUGAGGCGCAAUGCCUAAUGGGGUGACUUGCGGCACUGAGCCGCUUCAUCGCUAGAUCGGCAGACUUGCGGCACUGAGCUGCUUCAUCGAGAGAUUGGCAGAAUGGAGCCUGCCCAUCUUCGAGGUGCUAUGGGGUUCCGACCCGUUCUGGUGGACGGAGGAGCAACAACAGGCCUUCCAUAAACUCAAGCAGUACCUAGAGCAUCUAGAAGUGCUGACAAGCCCUACCCCCGGCGCCCCGCUCCUUCUCUACAUCGUAGCAGUAGAGGGAGCGGUGAGCACAGUCCUAGUGGAAGAGCACUCCCGAGAUAGGAAGGAGGAGCGAUCUCCAGUGUACCAUGUCCCUGAAGCAUCGACGAGGACCAAGCUACGCUACACCGAGUUGGAGAAGAUGGUGUAUGCUGUCGUCAUGGCCUCCCACAAGCUGAAGCACUACUUCACCGCUCACCCGAUCACCAUCCCAACCUCCUACCCGCUGCGCGACGUCUUCGAAAAUUGGGAGGCCAUUGGGCGCAUCAGCAAGUGGGCAACAAAACUCGAUCCUUUCGCGCUCUCCUUCGUCUCCCAAAGUGCAAUCAAGUCACAAGCUCUCGCUGAUUUCAUUGCCGAUUGGACACUAACGAUGUCUGCCAGUAGCCCCUCGAUGGCGGAGCCGAUCUGGACAACGUAUGUUGAUGACACAUGGGGCACCUCCGGCGCAGUGUUGACGAUAGUUAACACACCAAGUUGUGAACCGCAAGCACAUGGAUCAUCAUAGCUUUUCCCUUAGAGUAUUCCAUCCAAGGUUUAUCAAUAUGUGGAUCGGCAGCGAACUGACUAGGGUUCUCUAUCUAGCUAAACGAAUCUAAUCCUAACAUGAAGCAUGAAUUGCAUAUAAUGUUAAACCCAAUCGUGAGAUAAGUAUUGUAGACAGGGUAAACAGAUCACAUCCAUAGGUAACACAACAAAAGGUAGCAUGAGCUUAUUGUCUUCUUAUUGUAGUUCCAGCUAAAGUGGUAACCAAUCUACGUAGCACCUUGAUAAACAGUCAUCUCUUAAAAAGGUGGCUCGUAAGCGGCUUACUUUCUUGUGGUCACCAUUGCGAGGUGUGUGUUAACACCUCUGGUUUUCCAAAGCAUUACCUCAAACGACUCCCACAAUACUAACCAUCAAUCCUACUCAACAUUACAUAAUUGUUCGGUCUUUUCCUCCCACAUGCUAUCACCACACAAUGGUAAUCACACCGACUUCCUACGCACUAUUAAGAUGUAUCCACAAGACAUAGACUAAUCACCAUGAUUAUAUCUAUUCCUACUAAAAACAUACGCUUACUAAACAUAUGAGAAAAAGCAUGCAUCAUAGUAGAUCAAACUAAGCACAAGAUUAGAUUGAUAUCACCAUCGUGUGUGCAUAAGCCUUGAUGAUCACAAGGCUCGGCUCCAGAAUUCCACCAUGGCUUCGCUGCGCAGGGAUGACCAAGGCGGCUAGGGUCUAGCCUAAGUCAUCUCCUAGACAACCUUGAAGACUUACAGCGGCCCUCAGCUCCCUCUGAUGUGUGUCCCUCUAUUCGUCGACUUCUGGUGGAUUGGUCUGCGUGCUCAGUAAAAUAUCGGAGUAUUUAUAGUCUAGAGAUCGCAUGGCAGAAAUUGGAAGGUGAGAGAAGCAAGGAAAGUCCCAGGCCGAUUGGCCUAGCCCUUCCUUGUGGUCUCUCACACCCUCCUUCGUCCCCAAGUCUUCUUAGGUGUUCUGAAGUCUUAUUUUUACUUGUAUGUGGGCCUGACACAUCGAUAGCUUCAGGAUGAAAUUGAUCUUUAAUAACUUUCCAAAUCUCCGCUUGAUCCUCUUUAAUCCCGAAGUGAUCCUUGCCAUAUCUUCACAAACUUAGGCCUUAAGUAAUCUUGGAGGAGUGCUUCCUAAACAUGAACGUCGAAGGAGGCCAGAAGACUCCUGGCCAAUCGGCUUGGGCUUCACCAGGCCGAUAGGCCUGGGCUCUUUCUAAGCCCACUGGCCUUCAUCUUUGACAAGUUCAUUACUUGUUCAAAGUUUUAUCCAAAAUUAUGCUUUUAGGUACAAUUUCUUGGAAAAAAUAGAAUGUCCUCCAAAAUACAAUGCAUAUGCAAAAAUGGGGUUAUUUUAGGUACCAAGUGGCAGGUUAGUAUAAGAAUAUGUAUGAAAACAUCACUUAAAUAGCACUAAAAGUGUGUCAAUAAUGAGCAUCAACACGCAGGAGCGGCGGCGAUCCUAUCCUCCCCGAUGGGGCAGGAGAUCCGAUAUGCCCUCCAUCUUGACUUCCCAUGCACCAACAACACGACGGAGUACGAGGUGCUCGUCCUCGCGUUACAGAAGGCAGCAGCCCUAUAAGGGCGGUGUCUCCUCAUCAAGAGCGACUCCCAAGUCGUCACACUCCAAGUAGAAAACGAAUACCAGGCUCGGGAGCCCGAGCUGGCGGAGUACCUACGGGUGGUCCGAAACAUGGAACGCAAGUUCCAUGGUUUCACCAUCAUGCACAUCCCCAGGGUGGAGAAUGAGCAUGUCGACGCAUUGGCCAAAGCAGCCUCCCAAGGAAACUCGCUCCCGUCGAAAUUCUUUUUUCACAUCGCCACUGCCACCAACGCCGCAGGGACCUCUCGCGAGGUCAUAGCCAUAUUCAGCGAAGACUAGUGCUCCCCCAUCAUCAUGUUCCUUGAACUACACUCCCGAGGACCAUACGGAGAUGCACCGUCUGCAACAACGAUGCCGUCACUACCAGCUCGUGGACGGAACCGUCUACAAAGUAGGCAUGUACGCCCCCCUCCUGUGAUGCAUCCCUAGGGAGGAGGGGUGAUAGAUGCUGGAAGAAAUGCAUGCCGGUCCCUUUGGGGCACACUCGGCAUCUAGGGCCCUCGUCGGGAAGGUCUUCCAGUAAGGAUUCUAUUGGCCUACCACGCUUCGGGAUGUCCAAGAAAUUGUCAGGCGAUGCAUGACCUGCCAAAGAAUGAGCAAGAUGAGCCCUCUCCCCGUGACGCUGCUCCAACCAUUGGCUCCUGUCUGGCUGCUCGCGCGAUGGGGCAUCGACAUCGUGGGACCACUACCCACUGCACCAGGAGGUUUCCGUUUCGCGGUAGUAGCCAUCGAGUACUUCUCCAAGCGGGUGGAAGCGGAGCCAGUCACCGCAAUCAAGUCUGCCAACAUUGUCAAAUUCUUCUAGAAAACAUCAUUUGCCUCUUCGGGGUGCCAAGGGAGGUCACGAUGGACACUAAAAAACAGUUUGAUUCUGAAUGGUUCUGGAGCUACUGUGAUGAUCUGGGCACAAAGGUCUUUUUUGCCUUGGUGUAUCAUGCACAGUCUAACGGGGCUUGCGAGCAUGCAAACAGUAACAUCUUCGUGACAAUGAGCAAGCGCAUCUUCGGAGAACCUAAAGGUGUGUGGGCCGACGAACUCCCGAACAUUUUGUGGGCCCAUCGCACCUCCACCUCACGCCCUACUGGUUUCACACCCUUCCUGCUUCUAUUUGGAGAAGAAGCCAUGACCUCGGAGGAGGCCUCGCGUGGCUCCCUCUGGGUCACCCACCAAGCUGAUGUAGGAGAUGAGGCGAUCGCAAAGGAGCUACUAGAGGAAACACGCAUCCAAGCCGUGGCCAACCUUGAGAAGUACUAGGCGGAAAUGAGGGCUUGGCGCGACAGGAGGACGCGAAGUCGCUUGUUCGCAGAAGGAAACUUGGUCCUGCAUGUUCGGAGGAUUUCUGACGCCCUAGGCAAGUUCGAAAGCAAGUGGGAAGGACCCUUCAUCGUCACCGCAAGCAACUACCUGAGAAGUUACCGCCUGACUUUGUCGGAUGGAGAAGAAGACCCCCACUCAUUGAAUGCGGACCUCCGCAUCUGGUACUACCCCUGAGCUUGGGUAAGACAGGCAAGGCUCAGCGCAUGGCCCAUCACUGGCCAGGAGACCAGCGCCACUGCAAGUUUUUUGUCUUCUCUUUUUUAGCCUUGAUCUGUUUUUGUUUGUUUCCUUCAUUUGCAAGCCAGCCACAUGGAUAGCACAACGAGUCUUCUGUUGUCCAAAUAUCAGCGGCAUCUUCUGACCGCUACCGGGAGGCCCCGGCAAGGCACCGGCAUGUUGUAAUGAUUGUCUUCCCAAUCAUGGCACUAAUCUAAGUGUUUUCAGCUUGACAGCAUCUCCUCUCCGCUCCUUUCUGGAAGUGAUGCUUUCUGAUGAGUCGCACUUGGCGGCCAAGGGCUGAGGCCCUCGAGCGCUGGCAUAGCACCGCAUGCCUUUUCCUUUCCGGAACCGAUGCUUUCCGACGAGUCGCACAGGGCGGCUAAGGGCUGAGGUCGUCGAGUGCUGGUGUAGCACUGCACACCUGCUCCUUUCCAGAAGUGAUGCUUUCCGACAAGUCGCAUUGGGCGGCUAAGGGCUGAGGACCUCAAGUUCCGGUGUAGCACUGCACACCCGCUCCUCUCCGGAAGCGAUGCCUUCCGAUGAGUCACACUGGGUGGCUAAGGGGCUGCGGCCCUCGAGCGCCAGUGUAGAACUGCACACCCACUCCUUUCCGGAAGCGAUGCCUUCCGACAGGAAUCACGGGCCCUUCCGGGGUGGUAGCCCCCAAAAAGUGUUCUCGCCUCCCGCAAAGCUACCGCACAUCUACUUCACCCAAGGCGAUGCCCUUCGGGAUAAGGGCGCUUAUGCUCAACCGGAGGCGUUGCCCUUCCAGGAAACAUCGACACAGCAAAUAAAAAUAGGCCACAAAAAUACAAACACCUUUCCGGGAUCUUCUUCAAAAAUAAAUACCACACAAAACUAACAAUUUUAGAGCUGCAUCACGUGAAACAGACACCUAGCCUAGAUCACAACGGUUGAGAUAAUCUAAGAAACUACGGGAAGCACGCCCACGGGCACGCGCCCUGGAGCACGACAUGGACUGCCCCCCAGAAGGUUGUGGCUGAGGAGGGCAAUGGGAUGACCGUGACGAAGACCCCCUGAUGGAAACACUGGGCCCAAGGUCCACGGUGAAAGCCUCCCAGGCAGUGCGUUGAGAGGCCAAUGCGCUGACACCCUCCGAAGGAGCACCGCUGCCUAGGACCUCCUCAGCAGCUAGGCGUCUGGUGAAAGCCACGUCUAUCUCCACCUGUGGAUUGGUCUCCUGAACGUCCUGUUUCAACCAGCCACUAGACAAAAGAUGAAGGGGUUGAGGCCUCCAAAGCUUCCUCUUUAUCCUUCUCCGCCACAGUAAAGCAUCCAGGGCACGGGUCUGCGGAAAGAGCUGGGUGACUCACAUCCUAUGAAGAUGAAUAAAAGUUAAGACACCCUCUCGGCCCCCUAUCAACACUAAGGGAGGGGGAUCGAGGCGUAUGCCUUGGCUAUUGGCUCCCCACCAUAGCAUAACGUAGUCUCGGAAGUGACCCGGGAGGAUCCCUGAGAGAACAAGAAUAAAAUCCUUUAUUAAUCUUUGAAGAAAAAUGUUACACCUCAGACUCAAAGAAUGGCCAACAAGAAAUCCCUCCUCCUCCAUGGAGGCAGACAAAGAUGAACGCCGAGCAGCCCUAUGAAAGGAGGUGCCCUAGCUAGCACCCCUGCCUAGGGGAGAGGGGGAGGGGUGCACGGAAGAAUCUAGGCCCCCCAAGGGCGGAAUGGGGGAACUAAUCUGGCUUCAACUGAUCGGAUAGGCGGCCACACUCCUCGAUGAAGUCGAAAAAAUCUUCCUCGGGGUGCUCCUGGCAGCUAGGUGUGGCCCCCUACCUCUCUAGCCAGUCCGACCAAUCCCAAAGGAAAGAACCCCGAACCAAAAUCCUGCCAAAAAGGAGGGUUUCAGGGAAAACCUCUAAAUGGGUCAUGGCACGAACUCCCAAACGACUGGAAAACCCUCGCUUGAAACAGGCUCCCUACAUGGAGCCAGCCCCCUCAUGGCAGGAGCCUUUCGACAGCGCCGCACAAACUGAAAAUGAAGAGGGGUGAACCCCCAAAGCACAAUGAUGAGAAUUAGAAAGAACACAAACACCUCCUUCAUUAAUCAAAAGGGUCCAUUACAACUUGGAAGUUCCACUACAAGCGCAAAAACUCGCCCUAAAGAACCUAAUAAAAGAAGGGCUUAGGGCGCCUAAGUCUCAAGGGGCCGGCCAGGGAAGAGUUCAAACUGGGAAUCGCUCCGAAGGCUCUCAUUCCCCGCUGCGCCCUCGGUUCUACUAGGGCUCUCCCCUGCAUUGGCCAUCAAAACGGCGUGGGCCUCGGCCACCACCAAGAUACGGGCCAGCUCGAGACCGCGGUCCAGCCAGUAGUCCCUAAAGGCCUUAGAGGCAGACUACACAGCCCAGAUCCACUCCAAGAAGACCGAGGAAUUGCUGGGGAGCUCCCGGAUCUACUCCCUCGCAGCCAAAGGUGGUUGCACCCGAUCAUGUGCAGCGCUAGGAAGGCCCCCUCCAGGAGGUUUGGGCGCACACAUUGGCGAAGCCGGUGGCCCCCAGAGCGAUGGUGUUGAUCCCCCGGUAGAGCCAGUCCACACUCUUCAAAAGAUUCUCCUGGGGAUGAGUCGGGGGAUCAACGUCAAUGCCCAACAACAGCAAGGCCGCCCUCACGUCCUCCAUGAUGGUCCAGGCCACUGAAGCUCCCUCGAGGAGCUAGGAGGAGACUGAAGAUGCUUGACGCUCAGCUUCCUCCCGGGCCUUCUUCUCCAUCGCUAGAGCCCAAAUGCUGCAUCCCAGUCCUGCUCCACACGCAAGGCCUGAGCGUUAGCAUUCGUCUCGCCCUGGUGAGCUUCCGCUAGUGCCACCUCAAGCUCUUGUACAUGGGCCUCGAUGGCACUCUCCUGAGAGGAAGAAGACACCGCAGCGGCCACUUGAGCCAGGACGACAACCUAAAUGCGUCGAGCAUUUCCUUCUAAGAUUAAAAAACUACAUGGCACAACCAAGAGGUAUGGAGAGGAGAAGAGAAGGAAAAACGAACCUGGACUCCCAAUGCGGCAAGUGCCUUGUGCGCUGCCUCGACGGGGACUCCCCGAGUAAGGUUUUGGAGAGAGGGAACCCAGAGCCCCAAGGCCAUGGAGGCCAGCUUCGCACGGGGACCCUCACGACCCGUGAGAUCUUCGGAGGAGACAAAGUCUGACCCAGAGGAUGGGCCAUAGAACAACCCCUUCCUACGCCCUGGGCGGAGGAUAGCGGUCUCCUCGGGAAGCAAGCUCUCCCGCCCCUCGUCGUUGCCACCCACCGUCUCCUCCUCCUCCACCACCAUGGCAGCCCUCCCCUUUUCGGGAGACGGGCUAGUGGCCCCUAUAGAACACAACUUAAGAGCCCAUUUAAUCAUUCAACGGGGAAGUGGAGACAACAUACUCAAUCCAAGGAAAUCCAACAACUUACGAAUCUCUUCCUCCUCCUCUUCACUGUCAAACUCAGGGUAGGCCCUCGGGAUGCGGAACCUAGGAUGCAUCUCGAGAAAGGUGGAACGUGGUCCUCCCAAACCAGAGGGGGAGCGUAACAAAGAAGGGAGGCCAGGAGAGGUGGAUCCUUCCCGAGAGACCCAGAAAUGGGGGAGUUGUCUAGAGUCCCGUCCCGCGCGGCCUCCCCACUGGAGUCCUCCACUUCCCCCUCCUCAUCGCCGCCAGCAAGCCCCAUCACCACAAAGCUGGUCUUCCUCACCCUCCUUUCUCGGGCUCCGGAGGUCCCGCUCUGGUCGCAGCCCCUCACCCCUUGAGGGGGUUUUUCCUACGAGUUGAGACGCUCCUAAACGCCCACAUUGUGGAUCGCCAGGAUCCUAUUUUCCCGGCUACCAAGCACCAAGACCUUCUAGGCCUCGGCUUGGAGGAGUUAUAGGGGCCUAGCAACUCAUCUGCCUUGGCCUCGAUCUCCUCCAAAGAUAGGUCUGUGGGAAUCAGGUGUAGGGAUACGAGGUAGGCUACUCUAGCGCAAAUCAAAAUUUCUACCGCGUAAGACUAGGAAUAACUGCCGUAUAAGGAUCACGGGAUUACCACUCGACGCACUACUGGUGCGGAAGAUGUAGAUAUGCGUCGAUGCAGUGAAGACGAUCACGUAGUCGUACGUAGUCGAUCAACGUAGUCGUACGUAGUCGAUCACGUCCAGCAGCUCCUCAGCAGAUCGUCCACGUGCAGCAAGAUCGCCUCCGGUGCCGCGGCUUGUCGUCGGCUCGUCGUGGCUCGUCGGCGGCUCGUCGAUGGCUCGUCCAAGUGCUGCAGGCGCAACACCUCCAAGGUAUCCACAUGUGCAGGGAGGAAGCGUCGCAAGCCGGAUUGCUAGAUCCGCGAGUUGCAAUAGGCGAGGGCGUGGGAGGCGCGGCAGGUGUGUUUCGCCAAAAAGGUGUGAACCCUAGGGCGCCCCCACCCCUCUAUUUAUAGAGGUUCCUGAUGGGCCUCUGGAUCCGAGGCCCAUUAGUACUCCUAAACCUAAUCCAACUCGGAUCAGAUCCGAAUUGGGCUUCCAGCCCCUUAAGUGUGUGACCCUAUGGGUUCGGAUACGUAUAGACAUGGCCCGAGUACUCCUACUCGGCCCAAUAGUCGGUAGCGGCCUCUAGCAAGACGUGCCAACUCCUAUACGCACACGAAGAUCAUAUCAGACGAACCAUCACAACAUAAUAUACAUGCUAUUCCCUUUGCCUCACGAUAUUUGGUCUAGCUUCAAGCCGACCGCUCUUUCUCGAUCCUGUGAUUCGGAAUCCCUUUGUAGGUUAACUCUUAACCGUACGUAGCAUGGCCAUGCAUUUUCGGAUCCGAUCACUUGAGGGGCCCAGAGAUAUCACUCUCAAUCAGAGAGGGGCAAAUCCCAUCUUGACUGACCAUGUCUCAUAGCAUGCUUCUUGACAAACCCGAAAGCUACCUUUAUAACUACCCUGUUACGGCGUAGCGUUUGAUAGCCCCUAAGUAGGUCGAUCCACAUCUAGAAUACAUGCAACAGUCUCAGGUCUAAGGACAAAGCGUAUAUGUUGUUUAAAGAGAGAACUACUUCUCGUGUUGGGUCAGUCCUAGCACAUGUCUCCCCAUGUGUCCACAUUAUUAGUUCAACAUCUCCAUGUCCAUGACUUGUGAAACAUAGUCAUCAACUAAUACAUGUGCUAGUCUAAUAUUCAUGUGUGUCCUCACAUGAACUCCGACUAGGGACAACUUUAGAAUAACCAUACAAGUAAAGAGUUUCACAUACAAUUCACAUAAUUGCAGAUCAAUUCAAGUAGCCUUCAAUGGAUAUUCAAUGAACACAACAUACAAAUCAUGGAUACAAAUGGAAUAUCAUCAUCUCUAUGAUUGCCUCUAGGGCAUACCUCCAACAUCAGGAUGAGGGGAUCAGAGGAAAGUAGGAGCAGAUCCCGGAGCUCAAAUGAGCGAACUCACCGAGGAGGUUCCACUUGAGUUGCUUCUGAAACAUGGUCCAUCCCACCUUAUCCUUCUACACGACAGGCCAGCUGUCACUGACCACCGAGAACUCCCACCCCUGUGCGAGGGGCCACACCCCUGUGACCAGGAACUCCUCCACUAGGUCCUGCAUGGAGAAGCAUUGCGCAAUGGUUCCCACUAAGGCCACCCUCACCCGAAGGGCAUCAUCUGCCGGGAAGGAAGGCUGUGAGGUGAGUUGGGCUUGUUGCAGGUGGACUUCAUGCGCGAGUUCACUGGGAGGUUCUGGUAGAACCACUUGGACAACCCGGUGGUCUCCCUCUGGUCUUUGUAAGCUUUGGCAAAAAUGGCCGCCUAGUCCUGGUUGUAGAUGAAAACUUGCUCAUAGCAAAUCUCUGUCUUGACAUCCUUGAAGACGUGGAACUUCUUGCGAAUGGAGGUAGAAUGAAGGUGAACGAAGGUAUGAGCAGAAUGGGUCACGAAAAGCCGACUUGAAAGUGUCCAGGCACACGAUCGAGUUUGGGGCCACAUGCUGAAUCUCGAUCCCGUAAUAGGCCAACAUGGAGGUCAGGAAGUUCGAGCACGGGAAGCGGAGCCCACACUCAUAUUGCUUGGCAAAGACCACCACCUUGUUAGGUUCCAAAAUGGGGAUUGACUCUCCUUUCAAGGGGCAGACCAGGGGGCUGUCGGAAACUAACCCCUGCUCAUGAAGGUUGUCUAGGUACUCGUCAUCCACCGCGCUUAUCGGGAGGCGCCGGGAGACAAGGUGCUCCUCUCAUGCCUUCUUGAUCUUCGGGGGGUCACCUUCCGAAGAAGCCACCCUCUUCGGAGCCAUGAGCGAUCGAGAAGGGGAAAGAGGAGCUUGACAAGAGAUAGGGGCUACGCAAGUGUCGUGGGGGUAAAUGAAGAGCGAAGGGAGCGCUAGGGGCAGAUGGAGGCACGGCGGCUAAGGAGUAAACCCUCGAAGGGAAGGUGGGGGUUGGUAUUUAUAAUCCCAAGGAGAGCCAAGCGGGCGGGCCUAGGACCCCCACGACAGACCAUCCCUACACGACCCAACCACGCAAAGCCAACGGGGAGAUGACAUGUGUCCCACUAACCCAUGUGGCACUACCAACAGGCACGCGCACCCUCGUGCCCCGCGCCUAAUGGGACUUUUCGGGUCUCGACCCCCGAGCCCAUGCUAGGUGGCGCCGAGGAAGACUAGGAUGCGCCACCCGAGCUGGCUGUGGGCUCGGGAACAAGAAGAAGAAAGCCUUCCUACCCUUGCGGACCGCUCUCCAGACCCUAUUCCUCCACCGGCUAUCUCUCCUACUAGCCGGAAGGGUCUCGGAGCCCGUCAUCCGGGGGCUUGAACAACGAAGCCCCGAGAAAGGACUGCUAUUGAGGAAUUGGGUUAAGAUCGCAGGUCGAAGGGACCAUCCCCUCCGAAAGGCUUCCAAAAGCUUGGAAGUCUCCGGGGAUCCCUCGGACUUGGGAUCUGAAGGGUUACCAUCGCGUAGGAGUCCCGGGCGGAACACAACGGAAAUGGGAUCGCCGAUGAGGCCGCAAGGAUAACAGACGAGAAGGAAGGAAGGGCUUCCAAUCGAGUCAUUCGGAACUCCCUCGGAAGCCUUUCGCUCCCCCGGAGGUGUUGCCCGUUCGGGAGAGACGGGUGAAAGGUGGGCCCUAGGAAGAGCCUUACGCAUCUCCUAAAAGGAGAAAGGGGGAGGCGUCCGCGUCAACCCUAGGCACAAAGGCCAACCGCGCCCACCUCCCGUACGGAAGAUCUCCGUACGGGACCGCCAUGGUCGCCCUAGGUAUGGAGAACCUCCGUACCAGGAAAGGUUUUGACCUCAUUACCCCCACCAUCGCGUCCCAGAGGACCCAGUUUCCACUGGCUCCGUACCGGGGGGUAAAAGGGCCCUUUGGCCGAAAAGGCCCCAACCCCAAGCCUAUAAAUAGAAGGGUUAUAGGCUCAAUCAAGGGACAACAUUCCUGCCACUCAGUCCCCUAGAAGCUAUUUGGACAAGUGUCUUGUUGUAGAGCCACCCUCUACUGUUUGGACAUUUUGUAAUCACCAACAAUACUCUACCACCAACUACCGGACUAAACUUCCUCACUUGACCGUCCUUUAAAUACCCAAAUAUCAAAACCUCAGACCUUAAUAAUCUUGAACUCUAAAAAACUCCCCAAACCCUAAAAAUUCCAACCACUAGAUCCUUGAUCAUAACCUAAAAAAUUCCCAAAUCCAAUCUUUUUUAAGAUAAUGGAUAAUAGUACCAGUUCCAGCCUCUUCAAAAAUAAGAGGAAUUAGUCCACGAUUAUUACAGACUAGUAAUGGACAAGCAUAAAUAAGAAAAAUUGCUGAGCAUUAGAGACCCAUUCUAAAAAUGAAAGGCCACACAUGUGAAGCGAAGAAAUGCAUAACAACUCAAGAGUGCGGCAUAUGCCUGAACAAUAAACGCCUUGCUGUCACUUUGCGACUAUCUCCAUAGAUGUAGCCACUAUAGCCAAUGUGUUCCCUGAACAAGAACUGGAAAAGGAUUUUGGGUUAUCAAACACCACAUAGCAAUAACCUUACUAUUGUGUAUCAAUCUAGUGUUAUUCUCUGCAACUUACACAUAUGGCUUCCUCGUCAAACUUGCAAUAGCAUCCACACUUUCAAGAUAUAAUACCAGUUGUAUCGAUGGCGGCAUGCAGGGAAAAGCGACCUUGCAUAUAAGCUGAUGCUUGCCGUCAUGUGCCAUGCAUUAUUGGCCUUAAAAGUUGUCCUUUGUUGUUAUUCAAGCCAGGCACAGCGUGGGCAGAGAAAUAAUGUACUACCUCCGUAUCAAAAUAUAUAUUUAUCAUUGUUGACUUUUAGUCACGACGUUUGACCAUUCAUCUUAUUAAAAAUUUAUCUAAGUAUCAUUUAUUUUAUUUGUGGACAUUAUAUGUAUUUUAAGUAUGACUUAUCUUUUCAUACAUUUACACUAAAUCUUUGAAUAAGACGAAUGAUCAAACGAUACAUAAAAAAAUCAAUAACGACAAAUAUUUUGAUACACAGGUCGGAGGGAGUAUAUAAUCUCACGCAAACGCAAGGUCGACCACAUUUUGUUUUCUCUCGCCCUGUAUGGUGAAGUGUACCACGUGCACAUCUCCUAGCUCAGACGUGAGAUGUUGACAAAAGGAAGGAAGCUUCUUGUGUGUCAUCAGCCAUGUAUAGCUGCUAGCCGCGCGCAUGCACGGUCGAUCUCGGUCCCCCCAUUUCCCCAUGUGUGAGCGCAAGUGUACUGUACACAUACGUACAUAUAUACAGGGGUCGCCGCCGGCCGGCCGUUUGGUUUCGCUCGCAUGGGAUGCGGGCCGGCGGCGCGGCCGUGAGCAUAUGCACGUACGCAUCGGUGGAUAACAGCCGUCCCAGCCAUGCUAGUGGCCUAGUGGGCGCACACUUCACCAAACGCUCAGCACCACACUACACUAGCAUGCUUCAUGCUUGUGCUUUGUAUCUGGUCUGGUGUGGUGUAUGACUGUAUAUUAACCGGCGCCGGCCUAUAGGUCCUAGUAGCUGCACAUGUAUGUUGAACGAAAAUGUCCUGCGGCUAUUAUUUGCUGGAUCAACUUCUGGUUCAUGCAAUCUAGCUUGACCAAGUUAGUGAACGGGAACUUCUUUUUUAUAGUAAUAAAGACUCAGAGCCUUAGUAAUAUAAGAUGUUGUAGGAUCUACCUUUUGGCAGCACUUUCAGCUUUGUUUCUAUGGAGGUGUCACACAAACUGUGCCAGACAAGGCUUUGUUUCAUUGAUUGUUGAUAGUAGGAGAUCAGAUCAGCCAUAGUCAGUUGAACUCUAACGGCAUGACCAAUGGAUAUAUAUGUGCUUAGACAUGCAUGGUACGGUUAUUACUGGAGAACCGACCUUUAGUACCUAACCCCCUUUACUACCGGACGCCUGACUGGUAUCGCUUCAUAGCAAGUUACAAGUCAGGCGUAAUAUGCGCGUGCGCGAUCCAUGGGAUUCGAACCCACGAUCUCAAGCCUCGCGCGAACCUUCCUUACCAUCUCGCCUACACAGUAUAUGUGAUGGAGUUAGAUAUGUUUUCCUUUUGAAGUAACCCGUGGAGAGGUCUUUAGUACCCAAUGGAUAUAUAUGCUUAGACAUGCAUGGUACGGUGUGCUUAAAUUAAAAGAAACCACAUGCAUCAUCAGGUGCUUAUAGCAAGAUAAGAUGCUUAAAUAGUCUUUUGAAACAAACUUCUCUUUAAAUAUAGUCAUGCCUAAGCAACUUGUACUCUACGUGAACUAAAGUAGGAUGGUGAUUUUCAACUCUAGGAAAGACUAAACUAAACAUGAGCCUAACUAUCAUUUAUUUGUUAGAUAUCUAGUUAUAACUUAUAUUUUACAAACUUAUAUAACCUUGCGGUUGGCCUGAAUCGGAAACACAAGACUAAUUUUCACUUGUUGGCGCUUGGAAGUGUUCAUCACAGAAAGCACUCACUGGUAGAGCUCGCCUUUAGUCCCGGUUGGUAGAGAGAAAAUCUCCCAAAAAUCCAUCCGGGAUAAACCAAUCAAGACAAAAGGGGUCUUUAGUCCCGGAUCUUUCAACCGGGAGUAAAGCCACGCUUUAGUCACGGUUGAUUUUACCAACCGGGACUAAAGGGACUGCCACGCCAGGUGCGGGACAGGGCGUUUACUCCCGGUUGGUAAAUUACCAACGGGGAGUAAAGGGUGCCCCUUUAGUUCCAGUUGGGUUUUCCAACCGGGACUAAAGUUUUGCAUGAAAUUUAGGCGCGUGCCAUGCAGGCACCUGCAUGGCACCUGUAAUUUCAUGCAUCACGUAAUCCUUUUGUUAACCUUUAGUAGUUGAGACUUUUUUUAUAAUGAAACCAAACUAGUAUUUAAACGAAUGAAACUAGUAAUUAUACAAUUACUAUAUAUACAAUUCUUAGUAUAUAUAUACAAUUCUUAGCAUACUAUACAAAUCGAUCUUAGCGUAUAUUAUAUAUACAAAUCAAACUAUAUAUCUACAAUCUUCCCGUCGAGGUGUUGCUCGGAGCGUCUAAAUUUUGUCCAUCGUAAUAAAAUUCUCCUUGUGAAUUUACCACCUCUUCCAUCAGGAAUCCAAUGGGACCUUCACAUAUUGCCGCUACUCUUUCAUUCUUCAAGAGUCCAUGUUGAAUAUUAAACAUCUAUAAUUUAGAAAUAUGUGAAUGUUGCACGAACAAUUAAAUAUAAGGAGUUACAAAAUAAUUAACUAUUAAUAGUUUUAUUUUAUGUACUUUAAAGUUGUGCGGCGUCAUCUUUAGUCCCUUGGGUCCCCCAAAACUGUGCGUGUGCUCACAGAUGUAGUAGCCACAUAGAUUAUUCCCGGGUUCCUAUCUUAAGCACUCCAGUGGGGAAAAAAUAAGUUAUGAAAUAUUCGUGUUAUAGAAUGUAUAAAAUGUGUAGACUUCGUACGUACCAGGAAGUCUAUGUUCCAUGUAAGUUUUUCUUUGAAUGGACCUUUAUGUGUCCUAAUGAAUUGUCUCCAUGCGCUGCGGAUUAAAAUAAUGAAUGAUAUAGUGUUAGGUGAAAAUUUAGAAAACAAACUUUUGCAUAGAGAUAAAGGUCCAGAAUUAUUACAAGCCUAGCAUGUCUUGCAUGUCUCGGUACUCCACCGAAUCUUUCCUCAACGAAUCGAAGACAGUGAUGUGGCUUCUUUCAGGCUCAAUUAUAAUGAGGAUCCAGUGGAAGCUGCGUACGUAAAUGUUCAUAUAUAUUAGAGCUAACUAACAUUAAUCAGGUAAGGAAGAAGAAAACGAAAGUAGAUGGAAUACAAACACUUACUUGAAGUUGUAUGGAAGUAGUAUGAAAUCCUUGAAUUUUUGUUUGUCUAAGAAAUUGUAUACUUCCACCAAGGUUUUGUCCGGCGUGACCUGUAUCUAUUUUUGGUUAACUACGGAUGGAUCCAUGAAGCCAAUAUGGAGGUACCCUUCUCAUCGGCAUGUCUAAAUUAGCAUCCUACAUCAAAUGGAAGACGAAGUUAGUGCGGUGACGCACGCAAAAAAAAA